rnacentral:lncRNA from 1 species
UGCUACUGCAAUCUCAAAGCUUCGCCGCUUGUCAAUUGCUGGGAGCGGAGAGAUUGUUACAAUCCCUGGUCCAGAAACUGAGCAGCUACGCUUGAGCACUUUACUACUAGUUAAGAGUCCACCUAGAAUUGAGCACAAUCUUUUCUCUAGAGUUCCAUACCUCCAAGUUUUAAUUCUUAAUGGAAAAGGGAUAGAAUGCGUUCCUGAUAGUGUGGGAAAUCUAAUACACCUCCGAUUGCUAGAUCUUAAUCGCACUAACAUAUCCAAUCUGCCAGACUCUAUUGGAUUCCUAAAAAAUUUGCAGACUUUAAACCUACGACAUUGCAAAUUUUUGAACACACUUCCAAGGAGCAUCACUCGCUUAUGCAGUCUUAGACGGCUUGGCCUUUUACAUACCCCUUUGAGAUGUGUCCCUGAAGGAAUAGGGAGACUGCAACUGCUCAAUGACCUCGAUGGAUUCGUUAUUAAUGCGGACAAUAGUUGCAAUACCCGACGAAAUAGUUGGGACUUGGAAGAAUUAAAAUCACUUGGUCAACUAAGGUGGCUCCGAUUAUGUAUUUUGAGGGGGAAACGGAGCGCAAAUUCCGUGCAGUCCACUGAUGACAUAAUAGAUAAACCGCUGACAGUAACUCAUCCAAGGAAUAGGGCUUUUGUACUUGAAGAUAAAGCCUUCCUAAAAGAACUAGAUAUAUCCUGUAGACCACAGACAAAGAGGGAAAAAGUGUCGCCAUACACAAAGGAGGAGAUCAGUAAGAUUGAAGAUAUCUUUGAGAAAUUGCACCCUCCAACUUGUUUAGAACGAUUAUGGGUCGAAAACUUUUACAAUCAGCAUAUUCCAAGUUGGAUGCUGUCAUCAUCUUUGGGUACUUAUCUUCCUUAUUUAACAUAUGUGACUUUCAAAGGUUUGACACUAUGCUCACAACUUCCACCUCUAGGCCAGUUGCCGCAUCUAUGGUAUCUCGGAAUCGAAAAUGCUGUGGCAAUUGUAACUAUUGGUCCAGAAUUACUCGGUAAUGGGGUUGGUGAUGGGGUGCAUGCAGCAACAGCCUUUCCUAAGCUUGAACGUCUUUUCCUGAUAGGCAUGCCUAAUUGGGAAGAAUGGACCUUGGUUGGCAGUGAAAUAGGAAACUCAUCAUCUUUGCGAGUUAUGCCUCGUCUAGAGAAGUUGUAUGUAAUAGACUGCCCAAAACUCAGAGCACUUCCAAAAGGUUUGCAGCAACUCAGAGCACUCUGGAGAUUGAAAGUUGAACGAGCUCAUAGCCUAAGCAUAAUUGAGGACUUCCUGUUCAUUACUAGGCUUAGAAUCUUAAAAAAUGAUGGCAUGGAAAGGAUCUCAAAUCUUCCUGCACUAAGGAAGCUCACCAUUUGGGACACCUCGGCUCUGAAGUGCGUCGAUAAUUUGGUUGCACUACAACACCUAAGGUUGCAAGACUACUCUAUGGAGUCCCUCCCAGAAUGGUUGCUGAGACUGGCCCAGCAAAGCACGCAUCUUCACGACAAUAACCUCCAACUUGUGAUGCACUGCAACGCUGCCUUAAUUCAGAGAUGCCUCAAGGGAGGGCCAGACUGGCCCAUCAUCGAGUGCUUUUCUCGUGUCAGCGCCUACACCGAAGAUAGAUCAGCAUAUCUGGAAUAUACCAAGCAAAGUGGGUGCUAUCGAACUAAUCAAUGAAGAUAACAUCGGUGAAAAUUUUCCUACUUCUCUUCUCAUUUUGUUUCUUUUCUUUAUCGAUUAGAUGUUUUGUACUUCAAGCUUUUAUGUUGGUAUUGUCUCAAUUCUGUAGUUUUCUCUCUAUUCCAAGGAGCUUUGGUUGUUUUUUUAAAUAAAACUUUUCCUUCAAUAAUGGUGCUUCAUUUCCAUUAUUCUAAAAUUCCCUUCAGUCUCCCAUUUAAGCGAAUUUUAUUAUCUUAAGAUAAAAAUAUCUAGAACUUAUCUGGACUAUGGAUUAAUUGAGUCAGUUAUCCAAUCUUUUAAAAUUUUGAUUUUAUUAUCAAAUCUUUCAGUUUAUUUAUUUUGACUUAGUCAACGAACGUUGGCUUCAAAAUUUAAGUUAAUUAGUUACUUUGAUAAAUUUGUAGUUACAAAAAUUAAAAGAAAUAUAUUAACAAAAUCUGUAAAGAUAAGCGAUGCAUUCUAAUUUUGAAGUUAAAAAUAUGUUGAGUAACUCAAAUCAAAUAAAUUGAUAAAUUAAGUACUAAAAUCAAAAUUUUUAAAGAAUAGAUAGUCAACUCAAAAUGGUUUAUAGUUGGAAUAAAUUCUGCAUGUUCACCUUAUCUUAACUCAAUUAUAGAAAUAUCAUAGUGUGGAAUGUAUAAAUAUUCUUUUGGAUUUACAAAAGCCAUUUAUUGUGUGAUUGCAUGUAUUCUAUCUGCAUGCUGAAAAAUAAGUACAUUUGACAGGCAAUCAACUGAUCAAAAGUCAGAUCCUUCAGUUGAUCCUUUCAGUUCUAUUAGUCAGAUCGGUUUAUGUUUUUUUAACAGAAAUGUACCAUGUUACCGGCUGCAUUUAUUUUUUUUAAAAAAGUUUAGCUUGAAAUGUAAAGCAACUAGAUUUUUGAAUUUCGAACCUCAGAUAUCAACUAUCAUACCCUUUAGUCGUUUGCUAUUUGUGCUAGGGACAGUUUGUUAGUAAGAUUGGUUUAUGAUCUUUUUGUUGUGAGAGUUUGUCGAUCACUUUCAACCCGUUGACUAAUUCACAAUCAAAGUUAACUGGUAUUUUUCCUGAAAGAAAGCCCUCUUUGGUUAGCUAUACCUGUAUCAAUAAUUUGAACAACUUAGUCUUUAAAAAAAAGAAAAAGAAAAAAAAACCAACUAAUCUGAACAUUUUGCUGAUAUGAACCUCUCUAUUAACUAAGCACCCAGGCUUCAUUGCUUAGCUGCUGUUUGGUUUCUAGAAAAAGCAUAAAGACAAAAUUGUGGAAAAGAUGUUUUUCAUGAGAAACUUUUUUUCUAAUUUUUUUUGGCCCAUUUGGUUCUAAGAAAAAACUAGUUUUUUUAAAAAAAAUUUCUUGAUUUUACAAAAAAUUAUUGUUUUAGUUUUCUAAAUUUUUUUUUCAAAAAAUGAAAAUAAUAGUUUUCCAUGAAAUAUGGAAAAUAUUUUUCAAAAAAAGCUCUUUUUUUUUAAUCAAAGAGGUGGAAAACUGGAAAAGAAAUUUCAAAAUAUAUCUUGUAAUAUGGCAUUCUGAUUUCUGCAUACCACAAUGUCUAGGGAUGUCAACGGGUCGGGUUUUUAAAAACCCGAAUCAGAACCCGAAAAUCAAAUUAAAACCCGUAUCCGGACCCGAACCCGACGGGUUUUAAAAAUCCAUACCCAUAUCCGUACCCGACCAAAAACCCAAAACCCGAACCCCGACCCGAACCUAGCGGGUUUAAAAAUCCAUACUGUUGAAUGAAGAUCUAAAGGAUAAAAAUUAUUAAAUAUUUUAUAUAUUAUAUAAAUAAAUAAAAAUAAAGAAUGUAUAUAUAUAAUUUAUUCGGGUUCAGCUUCGGGUUCGGGUCGGGUUCGGAUUCGGGUCGGAUAAAUAUAAAAUCCAUACCCGUAUCUAUAUCCGUCGGGUUUUUAUUUUCUAUAUCCAUGACCGAAUACAUAUUCGUUUAGCUCGGGUAAAUCCGUCACGUUCGGAUUCGGGUUCGGGUAAUAUUUCGGGUAUCCAUACCCAUUGACAUUCCUAACAAUGUCAUUCUAUUUUUUUUUAAAAAAAAGACAUAUUUAUGUAUGCUUUUGCCUCACUUCCAUUAGAUAAACCUUAAUACCAAACUAGGGAUGUCAAUAGGUACGAAUAUCCGAAAUUUUAUCCGAAUCCAAACCCGAACGGAGCAAAUUUAUCCGAUGCUAAAUAUAUAUGAUUUCUGAUAUGGAUAUCAAAAACAGAAACCCGACGGAUAUAAAUAUGGAUAUGGAUUUUGACUACUGUACCCGACCCCAAACCCGAUCCGAAUCCAAAUUUAUUUUACAUUAUAAUAUAUAUGUAUAUGAAAAUUUGAUCUUAUAUUUGAAUUUAUAUUUUAAAAUUUUAAAUUUAAUAUAAUAUAUUUUGAAAUAUUGAAAAGAGAAAUAAUUGUUUCAGGUUCGGAUUUUGGGUUUGGGUUCGGGUUUCGGGUUUUUGGUUGGGUUCUGGUUUGGAUAAGGAUUUUUAAAAUCCAUCGAGUUCGGGUUCGGGUUCGGAUUCGGAUUUCGGGUUUGGAAUACGGUUCAGGUUCAGAUUUUUAAAAAUCCAUCCCGAAUCCGACCCGUUGACAUCUCUAUAAACGGACCCUAACUCUAUAAAUGUGACAAAAAGUCAACAUGCGAUUUUAUUGAACCUGGUUUCAUACGCACAAUCCAGCCCAGUAUAGGCCUUAAACAACGCCCAGAUAUUGACCCUUGCAAUUUUAUGUUUCUUCUUUCUCUUUUCUCAAAGCCUAAAUAAAGUUAAGGUAUCUAAAUUUUCAUGUAUACACAUACACCUAAGCAAAAUACAAUAAGAAAGUAGAAUAGCAAAACAUUCCAUAUCGCGAUGAGUCCAUUACGAUAUAUUUUCUACGAUCCCCAAUGAAAAAAUAAAAAGUGUAUUUUUAUAUAUUUUUGUUCCAAUUCUGUUUGUCUAUUAGCAUAGAUAAGCCUUCAUACUAAACGGGCGCUUUGUCGGUUGGUCCGGUUAUGCUUUUGACUGGGUUUAUAAUGUGAUCGUGGGUUUUAGUGACUGAAUUUGGAUUUUGGGCCUUGGUAGCUUUUCAGGCUUUUGCAUGUAGCUUGGUGGUAUUUCUUAAUUAGUUGCUUCUCCUAUAUAAUAUUUUUGAAGAUUUUCACUACCCUUUUGUGAUCAUCAGCCACAAUAAAGAGUGGCUUGUUGUCCUCUUGUUUAUUUGUUAUUCAGUUGUGUUGUAUUCAGUUAAAUAAAAUUUGCCUAUAUAUUAUGGGUAUUUUUUUGUAAAAAUACAUGAUCUAAAAGUUAGAGAAGUGGAAGACUCGUUCCGCUAGUAAAAAUCCAUUCAACCCAAAAGCUUAAGCCUGUUGGGCCGGAUCCAUUAAUAAACAUCGAAUUUAUUAGUUUCUUGUUAAUUAUUCGAUAUGAAACUAUUAACAAACGAAAUUCGAACACUAAGGACCCUUCGAAUUAGGAUUGGAGUGGGCAAACUGAGUAGGAGAGCACAAAACAAUCAAAUCUCUUCUUUUUCUUUUCAUAAUGCUUUUUUAGUUGAUACGGUGGCAGGUGUGUACAUCUAUCUACUUCUCUCUAUAUUAUUGAAGUUUUUAAAGCUCCAAACUAAUUUUCAACAAUAGGACAUUAGAAACGUCUAUCUAUACUAUUGAACAUUAUCUUAAAUAAUUGUAAUUUAAUUGAACCCGCAAAAUGGAACAAGUUUUUGUCGAAGCUAUUCCAACUUUACUUUUUCUAUAUACAAAACAAUAAAUGAUCGGUCCUAUGUUCUCUUCUAAAACUCAUUAAGAUUAAAAAUAUUUUUUAAUAAAAUUAGAAAAUAAUUUGGACUAAAUUUAAUUGGCUAAUAAAAAUAGAAUAUGCUCUGAAAAAAUUAGGGUUUAAGAGAGAUAUAUCUAACACAAGCAAUGCUAGAAUACCUAGAAAGAAAAAGUGUCCUUUGUAUAAAGGGCAAUAUUUGAUACUUAUUUUAUUAAUUUUUUUGAGUGCAGAACUAAGUUUGCUAUCAAAAGGGGUUGUAUUUUCUACAACUCCUCAUCCGAAAAUUAAACAAUUCACUAACUUUUUUUAAUUUUUAGGAAAAAAAGAAAAAAAAAUGAUAGGAUUUAUUAAGAAAAUGUGAUUUCUCUAUUAGUAAAGUUGUAGGAGUAUAAUACAAAGUUGAUAAUCGAACUAGCAUUAAAGUAGAAAGUUUUAAAAUAUUCUUUAAACCUCAGGAUGGGUAUGAGUCAACUCAAAGGCCUAUAUUCUUCUGAAUCAAGAGCAGCAUAGAUCUGGCAAUAGUUGAACUCGAAAUAUUUUGCGAAGCAAGACGAAGCAAGAAGAAUUUGAUCGAGCAUCAACACGCAAAUGGAGGCGCUGGACGCUCUUUUCAGUAAGUGCGCAGAGAAGCUCGCUGCUUUAAUCCAGGAUGAAGUGGCGAUGAUUCUCGGGGUGAAGGAAGAGCUCGAGAAGCUGUAGAGGAGGAUGAAGUGGAUCGACGGCGCGCUGAAGAAAGUAGGGGGGGAGAGGACCAAAGAUACCGCUUGGUUGAAUGAGCUGCAAAGUAUCUUGCACGAAGCGAACAAUAUCUUUGACGACCUCAGGUAUGAGGGUGGCAAGCUACUUGACAACGAGCUGCCGUCCGCAUCCUCAGGUCCGUCGAUCUUCUGCGGCCUCCCUACGUUCUCUUGCUUUAACUCAAUUCGAGUUCGUCACAACUUAGCCAAUAGAAUCAGAGCCCUCAACAAUAGAAUCGAUGAAGUUGCGAAGGACCAGUGGAUCUUUAAUCUUGAGUCGGUAAAGAUGGUGGGUCGAGUGGCAAGCAUGUUGUCCACGCGCGAGACUUGUGAGAUCAUGGAAGCCGAUGUUGUCGGGAGAGAGAUCGAAGAUGCUACCGACGAAUUGGUCGAGAUGAUAGCCACGAACAACCGAAGGAAUUUUCAAGUGAUUGCUGUAGCAGGCAUGGGAGGGAUCGGCAAGACCACGCUCGCUCAGAAGGUGUACAACAAUCCUAGAAUCUGGGAGAACUUCCAGGUGAUAAUUUGGAUUUGCGUCUCCCAAAAAUAUUUAGCUGUUCAAUUGCUACAGGAGAUCACUCGAAAAGUAGGAGGCAGCCACGGAAGUGCCGAACGGGUUUCGGAACUGCUCCCUAUUCUCCUGCCAGGCUCUUGGAGGGAGGAGCAUCUUUCUCGUGCUGGACGAUGUAUGGCGAUCGGACGUAUGGACCGAUUUACUCCGAAACCCGCUGCGAAAUGGAGCAGCUGGUGGAUGUGUUCUGGUGACCAUUGAAAGAGGCAACUCUCCCUCUCUCUUUAAUAGAACAUUCUAGAAUGCUCUAUCCCUUUCCAAUUCUCUACUAGCUAAUGGAGCAUUCUAGAAAACUCUAGGAACAAAGUGCUCUCUAUUUGUUAAUAGAGCACUUUAGUAAGUUCUAGAAGCAAGUACUCUAGAAUAUUCUAGAGUACUCAUGUAGGUAGGUUGGAGGCCUAUAAAUAGGUGUGAGGCCUCCACACCAAGUGUGCAAGAGAGCGAGUGUGAGGUGGUGUGCAAGAGUGAGUGAAUGCAAGUGUGUGUGUGUGUGAGUGUGAGGUGAGGAAGUGUUAUGAAGUGUAGUGAAGUAGUAAAAGUGAGUGUGUGAGGUUUGUAGUCUUAUGGGUGAAUGUGAAUGAGAGUUAUUUUGUGUGUAAUAAAGAGAGUUUUAUUAUCAGCCUGGUACGCCGAUAUUCUACAACCAUGAGAGACCAGAACGUUGCGAUAAGAAUGGGUGCGAAACACAUUCACCAGGUGGAGAAAAUGACUGUUGAUUCAGGCUGGGAGUUGCUUUGCAAGAAAACCUAUCUAGAAGAAGAAGGAGAAGAUGUGCAAACUUUGAGAAGUGUGGGGGUUCGAAUUGUUAACAAAUGCGGCGGCCUUUCGCUUGCAAUCAAAGUGAUUGCCGGUGUCUUAACCACCAAGGAGAAAAGCAGAAAAGAGUGGGAGAAAGUUCUCAAAAGCAAUGCUUGGUCUAUGAGUGAGCUUCCUGAGGAAUUCAGGGGAGCUCUCUACUUGAGUUACGACGAUUUACCGUCUCAUCUGAAGCGAUGCUUUCUUUCAUUAUGCCUUACCCUGAGGUUGAUGGACUGUACCUUGGGGAUCUUCGCAGGAUGUGGGUGGCAGAAGGGUUCGUCGAUCAAGAAGAAGGUUUAAUAAUGGAAGUGUUAGCGGACCAAUACUACUUCGAGCUAAUAAGGAGGAGUCUGCUACAGCCUUAUUCUAUUUAUGGGGAUCAGAGAAUAUGCGAAGUACACGAUCUCUUGCGAUCUCUCUCUCAAUAUUUGUCACAAGGUGAAAGUUACUAUGGAGACCCACAGUCUUUGGAUGCUACUGCAGUGUCAAAGCUUCAUCGUUUGUCAAUUGCUUAGAGCAGAGAGAUUGUUACAAUCCCUGGUCUAGAAACUGAGCAACUACGGUUGAGGACUUUACUACUAUUCAUGAGUCCGCCUAGAAUUCCGCACAAUCUUUUCUCUAGGUUUCCAUAUCUCCAAGUGCUGCUUCUUAACGGAAAAGGGAUUGAAUGCAUUCCUGAUAGUGUGGGAAAUCUAAUACGCCUCCGAUUGUUAGAUCUUGAUCGGACUAGCAUAACCAAGCUACCGGACUCUAUCGGCUUACUAAGAAAUUUACAGGCAUUAAACCUACAUCAUUGCGAAUUUCUAAACACACUUCCAAAGAGUAUCACUCACUUAUGCAGCCUUAGGCAGCUUGGCCUUUUUGGUACCUCUUUAAGAAGUGUCCCCGAAGGGAUUGGAAGACUGCAACUGCUAAAUGACCUGACAGGAUUCAUUAUUAAUGCAGAUAAUAGUUGCAAUACCGAACAAAAUAGUUGGGACUUGGAAGAAUUAAAAUCACUUUGCCAACUAAGGUGGCUCCAAUUAUCUAUUUUGGGGGGAAAACAUAAUGCAAAUUCCGUGCAGUCCACAGAUGACCUAAUAGAUCAACUGCUGACAGUAACUCAACCAAGGAAUAGGGCUUCUGUACUUGAAGAUAAAGCCUUCCUAAAGCAACUAAUUAUAUCCUGCACACUGCAGUCGGAGAGGGUAGAAGUGCCGCUAUGCACACAGGGAGAGAUUAAUAGGAUUGAAGACACUUUUGAGAAAUUACGCCCUCCCACUUGUUUAGAAGAUUUAUUGAUCUACAACUUUUACGGCCAUCAAUUUUCGAGUUGGAUGGUGUCAUCAUCUUUGGGUACUUACCUUCCUUAUCUAACAUAUGCGAUUUUCAUAGGUUUGCCACUAUGCUCACAACUUCCAUCUCUAGGCCAAUUGCCGCAUUUGAGGCAUCUCUCAAUCAAAGAUGCUUUGGCAAUUGUAACUAUUAGUUCAGAAUUACUCGGUAAUGGGGUUGGUGAUGGGGUGCAUGCAGCAACAGCCUUUCCUAAGCUUGAAUUUCUUUUCAUGAUGAAAAUGCCUAAUUGGGAAGAAUGGUCCUUGGUUGGCAGUGAAACUGGAAACUCAUCAUCUGUCUCACUUCGAGUUAUGCCUCGUUUAGAGCAAUUGCAUGUAGUGGAUUGCCCAAAACUUAGAGCACUUCCAAAAGGUUUGCAGCAACUCAGAGCACUCCGGAUUUUGGAUGUUGAACGAGCUCAUAGCCUAAGUGUAAUUGAGGACUUCCUGUUCAUAACUCAGCUUAAACUUGAAAUGAAUAAUGGCAUAGAAAUGCUCUCAAAUCUUCCUGCCCUAAAGAAGCUCACCAUUUGGGACUCUCCAGGUCUUAAGUGCGUCGAUAAUUUGGUUGCACUACAAUACCUAGAGCUGCAAGAUUAUUCUAUGGAGUCCCUUCCAGAAUGGUUAUUUAGACUGGUCCAGCAACGAGUGCAUCUCCAACUGGUGAUGCGCUGCAGUGCCACCGUAAUUCAGAGAUGCCUUAGGGGAGGUCUGGACUGGCCUAUCAUCGAGUGCUUUUCUCGUGUUAGCGCCUACACCGAAGAUAGAUCAACAUAUCUCGAAUAUACCAAGCAAAAUGGGCGUUAUCGAACUAAUCAAUGACAGUAGCAAUGGUAAAAACUUUUUUUGAUUCUCUUCUUAUUUUUUUCCUUGUCCAUUAGUUGUUGUCUCAAUUCUCAAACUGAACUGUAUUCUCUAUGUUAGUUCAUGAUAUUCCGUAGUUUUCUUUUCACUUGAAGGAGUUUGCAAAAAUGCCAAGCUAAACGCACUUUGAUUGUUUUUUUUAAGUAAAAUUCCUGCUUCAAUAAUGGUGCUUCAUUUCUAUUAUUCUAAAAUUCCCUUCACUCUCACUCUCACUUUCACAAUGAGUUUUAUUAACUUAAGAUAAAAUCAUAUAGAAAUUAUCUGAAUUAUAAACCAUUUUGAGUCAACUAUCUAACCUUUUAAAAUUUAGAAUUACUAGCUAACAUUUCAAUUUAUUUUAUUUGAAUCAGUCAAUGACAUUUUAAUUUUAAUAUUUAAAUUAAUUAGUUACUUUAAUAAAUUUAUAGUUGCAAGAAUUACACAAAGCAUAUUAACUAAAUCUACAAAAGAUAAAUGACGUAUUCAAAGUUUAAAAUUAAAAUACUUUUGACUAACUCAAUUCAAAUAAAUUGAAAGAUUAGAUACUAAAAGAAAAACUUUGAAAGAUUGGAUAAUCAACUCUAAAAAUUAGUUUAUAGUUUAGACAAAUUUUGUAUAUUUUCACUUUAUAAUUACUCAAUUGUACAAGUAUCAUAAAAUAAGUACAUUCGAUAAGCUCAUCAACUGAAAAAUCAGAUCCUUCAACUGAUCCUUUCAAUUCUAUUAGUAAGAUCGGUUUAUAAUAUUUUUGUUGCGAGAGUUUGUUGAUCACUUCAUAAUAUAUAUUAUGAAAUUGAAACAAUGUUUGCGUCCAAGUAAUUCUGUAUCAAUAAUUAAGGGCUAGUACCCAAGAGCUACCUAAGAAGUAGCUGGCUGAAAGAGGCAACUCUCCUUCUCUCUUUAAUAGAACAUUCUAGAAUGCUCUAUCCCUUUCCAAUUCUCUAAUAGCUAAUGGAGCAUUCUAGAAAACUCUAGGAACAAAGUGCUCUCUAUUUGUUAAUAGAGCACUUUAGUGAGUUCUAGAAGCAAGUACUCUAGAAUAUUCUAGAGUACUCAUGUAGGUAGGUUGGAGGCCUAUAAAUAGGUGUGAGGCCUCCACACCAAGAGUGCAAGAGUGAAAGUGUGUGUGUGUGAGUGUGAGGUGAGGAAGUGUUGUGAGGUAUAGUGAAGUGAGUGUGUGAAGUUUGUAGUCUUUUGGGUGUAUGUGACUGAGAGUUAUUUGUGUGUAAUAAAGAGAGUUUUAUUAUCAGCCUGGUACGCCAGUACUCUACACUGGCUAGUUUGGCGGCUUGUUGGUGGAUGAUUUAGCGAGAAAGAAAGAGUGUAAUUUUUAAAAAUCAAUCUUUCGACGUUUUAGUGGCUAUUAGACAAAUCCGUGAAAUAAUAAGGGAAUGGACUAAGUUUUGCAACUCUAAGUGAUCUUUUAUUUUUUCACUUUUAUUUAUUUAUGUAUUUAUUUUCCUUUCAUGUAACUAUUUGAUCCAUUCGAGGCCCUGCUAUCUCAACAUUUGUAGUAGAAUUCAUUUUCCAAAUGAAUAAAGCACGUAGCGUGCUACCUUUAUCUCAAAUAAUAAUAAUAAUAAUAAUAAUAAUAAUAAUAAUUUGAAAGUCUGGAAAAAAAGAAAAAAAAAACCUAAUCUAAACAUUUUGCUUAUAAGAACCUUCUUUACUAACCAAGCAUGAAGGUUUCACUACUUAAGUGCUGUUUGGUUUCUAGAAAAAGCAUUAAAAGAAAUUUUGGAAAUUUUUUUUAUGAAAAACUAUUUUUUUAGUUUUUUUUUGUCCGUUUGCUUUGAAGAAAAAUAAGUUUUUUUUUCCAAUUGUUAUAGUUAGAUUUGCCGAUAAUUUGUGUAGAGUCCUUUUUUUUCGUUUUUCUUUUUUUUGAGAGGGAGAAAUCGAUUCAUAAAAAAGUGAAGUCCCGCCAAAGGGGCAAGCAUUCAGAGAUGUCCUCCAAGGCACGGUUUGGUUCGGGGAUAAGCAAGAACUAGCUGUUCCAGGGAUAGGUACAAGUAUGAGGAUAAGAGUAAUUUUGUGUUUGGAUGAAAAUAGAUAUAAGGAGGGAUAAGAGAAAAAGUGUUUGGAUGGUAUUUGGGGUUAAGAGGAUAGUGGGUUGGUGAAAUGACAAAGUUACCUAAUUACCCCUAUGAGAAAAAGAGAAGGGUGAGUUGUAGGAUUGGUAAGUUAUAUAUUUUAAAAUUCAUUUGUACGUAAAAUAAUGCGAUUAUUUUUUACCGAAUAUUUUUUAACCGAUACAAUAAUAAAUAAAUCAAAAUGUAGCGUGAUAGUUGUAAAGAUGACAUACGCUAUUUUCGAUAAUACAUACAAACAGGUAGGUGCCAAUGGCGCAAAUUCCAAAUUGUAACAUAGCACAUAAUAAAUAUUCGAAACUAAUAUGAUACUAUUCAAACACAUUACAUAAAUAUAUUACACAUGAAGAUAAUAUGUAGUCCUACAACCAGAUGAAAGUAGGCAUCUUCAAGAUCGAUUAUUCCAUAGUUGAUCAGUAAUAGAGCGCCGCAAGGACUCCCCUCGUGUCGAAUCAUCGCCUCUACUUGGAAUAGGCUCUGGAUCGCCAACGUCGCCUUCAGGGGUUUCUAGCUCUAAUUGCUCAACAAAAUAUCUAUCAUUUUCUUGUUGUCGUCGAAUAAAAUUAUGCAGCACACAACAUGCCAUAGGUAUCAAGCAUUGAACUUUGAUGGAAAAUGGAGUUGCUUGAGUUAAAAUCUUAAACCGCUUCUUUAAAAUGCCAAAACUCUUCUCUACGAUAUUUCGCAAUUGCGCAUGCCGAUGAUUAUAUAAAUUUCGAGGAUUCUGAUGCGUACGAGCCCGCGUAAAAGUGUCAAAUUGGCUGAGAUGAUACCGCUCACCCCGGUAAGGUGCUAGAAACUUGUCAGUGUUUGCGUGCCCCGAACCGACCAAAUAAAAUUUACCUAUAGCAAUGAAUAUAGUAUUUACUCAAUUUUUUGUAUAUGAAUAAAUCUGUGAAUAUUGAACAAUAUAUUAUCAUUUACCUUCGAAAACUAUAAAACUCCCUGUAUCGCACGCCCAUCAAAGAACACGCAUAUCAGCAGCCGAUCCUUCCCAACUAGUGCAAAUGAACAAGAAAAUAUGGUCGAAUGAUACUGCAGCCAUCAUAUUUUGUGACGUAAAUCCCUUGCGGCAGCGAAAACGUGGUUGCUCACUCUUUUCGACACACACAGGGAUUUAUGUUCCGUCUAUCGCACCAAUUGUAUUCUACAACAUAAUCUACAUUAAGAAAUAUUUGACAGAAAUUUACAUUUGCAACGGAAACUAUAUUAUCAUCAGCCAAACUUACCUUAAAUGGAUGAAAAUUUAUAUUAUCCCGAAUUCUUGGAUGCAGGGCCGCAUUACUUGGCGGCAAAUUCAUGUAUUCGUCCUUCAACGUUACAAGCGCUCGUAGCACAUUGUUGAAGUGUCGACUAAUUGUCUCUCCUGAAUGCUGAAAUAUUUCUGCCAACACUCUAUUUUCCACGCCAUGACCGACACAAAAUAGAAAAAUAGCUAGCUGCUCAUCGGUUGUCAUACGUCGUGUUGCUCGUAUCAACCCCCGAGCAAGCAGCACAUCGCGAAGUGCGAUAAAAUUUGUUGUUGACAUGCAAAAGUGCUGGUACCCUCUGUCUGGAUGACCAUUGAGAAGAUCAGUAACUAAUUCAUGCCCUGAAAAAGAUCGAGUUCUAUAAGGCCAUCUGUGCAACGUGUUAGCAGCAAAUGUAAGAUAGUCCUGCUCAUAAAGUAUCAUAAAAAUUUGGUUCCAGUAAUCAUCAUCUUCAUCUAGUAUUGUCAUAAUAUUUGCUAAUGUUGGCGAUGAGAAUAUAUAACGAUUCAGUAAUUCACCCAUUUCAGCUGUAAUGCAUAAAAAAGAUAAUCAAUACAUUGAAGCUAAUUGCAAUCACGAAGAUGGCAGUACAUAUUGAAUAAUAUAUUACCCACUAGAUUAUAACAUGCAUGAUAUGACAAGUUUUUUCACAUAACAUAGGUUAAAAACUGUUGAUUAUGUCACACUGAAAAGUGUGUUAUUCCCCGCGAGGAAGCACCUAAGAUCAACACAUAAUGCAACAUAAUAUACAAUGCACAUAAAAGGCACAAACACAUAAUGCAACCUAAAAUACAUGCGAAAUAAAAGCCAUGUCUAAAAACCAAUAUACAACAAUAGAAAGUAGCGACGGCUAUCUACAAUCCUGGAAAGUCAGGCCUAUAAUUGAGGUUAUGCAUGCCAAGCUGGUGGUUAAUCCACACAAGUGCAAGCUCAUCAUUCAGGGUCAUAGAAAGUUGUCUAUCUGUCUCAGCCCGCAAUGAAAUCCCAGCCGCAAUGGCACGUAUAUUCGUUGUGCCUACUAGAUUAUAAACUCUGUUCAUACAAACGUCAAUUGGUGGGAUUGUCGAUCGACUAGCCUUUUCUAUAUUUAGCAUUUCCCGUGCAACCUCGAGCUUUUGCUUCCCGAUCUCUACCAUCUCAGCCAAUGCCUCAGCUCCCAUGUCACUCUUCUUCCUUCUCCCGGCAGAGGACAAACAUUAUUUUCGUGUCUGUACAGAGGGUGGUGGGGAUCUAGGUCGUUUACUUGCCGAGCUAUGUCCUGAUCCACUAGCAUAACCUCCGACAGUCGGUUGGCCGAGAGGUGGGGUAGGAGAACGCGAAGAUCUACACUGCUCGCCGGUUUCAUUAUCGGGUGUGCCUGCCUCACCUGGUUCAAACAAAACGGGUCAAGAGAUAAAUGGCAAGCUGUCUAAUAUCUAAUUUUUGUAUCAUUCUCACCAGGUGAAGACGACGAUGAACUAACAACAGUAGGUGGUUGCAUUGUUUCUAUGACAUCCCAUAGCGGCCGGUCGCCACAGUUGAUCCACACAAGAAGGCAAUGUUGUUAUAAGCAGGAAAUGGUUUAUCCCCGCACUUCGCGUAUGCAGGAUUCGCCUGAAUCAAAAGUAGUAUACAUUAGAACUAGAUCAUAAGAUGGUUAAAGAAAAUAAUGUUUGUAUGUACUAUUAUACGAAAUCUUACCGCAAUUACUGCAUCCAAAUCAGUAGGGUCACCAGCCGUGGGUAUAUUGUUCACAGGGUCCCAACCCCAACCGCUAAGGUUAGCCAGUUUGUCGUAUAACAUGUAAAACCUCUUCAACACCUUGAGCCGGUUACUGACAUGUUGUUUUGUCAAGUUUUGACCUGUUUGUGAGUUGAAACCCUGAACGAUUCUAAUCCACGCAACACGAAUAAAACUACCCCCAACGUAGUUUCCGAGUGCGUGCUCCAUCAAAAUACUCAACAAAAUGCUAUCAACGUGAUCAGUCCAAUUGGCGUGCGGGACCUUAUUUGUUUAGGCCGCCUGUUUGAACCCUCUACAUCACAACUUGGGGUUGCAUUAUCCUUACCCCUCAGUUUGUUUUUAUUUGACUUAGAAAAAAUUUGGUUGGGUUGCAUCUGUAUGUGGACGACAUUCUAUUUUAUUCUCCUCAAUACAACAGAGUUUAGGAUAAAUAAAUGUUGACAUUAUACCAGUAUAGCAUAAUAGGUAAAUAUCUCAGCAGAUCAUCAUGCAUAAUCCAAUUUAAAAGACAAAAAAGAGAAAUAUGUGAUGUGUAUAAGAAAGCCCUCGCUGAAAAAAUGUAGCACAAUUGAUUACUCUGCUUGAUAAACCAUGGCAGCAACACUGUGACGCGUUGUGGCUCAGAGGGUCCUUGAUUACCAUGGGACUGCACAGAAUAUGACUUCCAUGCCUACCAACAAAUGGUAACGGAAAUCGGCAUCAUUGCCAAUUCAAUCAGCAAACCGAUCGCUGUACAUAUGUAUUCCAUCAUUUUAAUUCGAAUACCACAAUCAAGGUUAAAAUCCAAACAGCUAUUAAUGUCGAAAAUUUCAGUAAGUUUUACCUUCGAGUACCAGUGGGGGAGCAAGAGCAGGAGUACGACAGUGGCAAUAGAACGGAACCGAUCUCACAGCAAUGGUUUCGCAAACCAACAAGCUUCGGGGACACCACGGGUAUGGUCGGCCAGAGAUGCAGGGAGGGAGAGGACUCAUGAGAGAGAGAGGUGGAGAGAGCGGAACCGGGUGCAGGGGAGAGAGAGCUCGAUGAGGGAGAGGUGGAGAGGGUGGAACCGGCUGUACGGCAGAGGGAGCUCGGUGAGGUGAGGGCUGCAAGAAUGGCCGCCAGAAACCCACCGGCGGUGCAGAUCCGCCGGAUCCCACCAGGGCUGUCGCAAACCCACAAGAUUUGGGGAAACCACAAACGCCGACGGCAGCAGGCGAAGGGAGGGAGAGGACUCACAGGAGGGAGAGGUUGAGAGAGAAGAACCGACAGCAGGAAAGAUGGAGCUCGGUGAGGUGAGGUGGAGAGAGAGGAAACGGCUCGAUCCACGUCGAGUGGGUGCAGGGGUGCAAGAAAGCCCGCCGGAAACCCACCGCCGAUGCAGAUCCGGCCUUGGAUCGCACCUUUCGCAAACCCACAAGAUUUGGGAAAACCACGGGCGCCUACGGCCGGAGGCGAAGGGAAGGAGAGGACUCACGAGAGGGAGAGGUAGAGAGAGAGGAACCGGCAACAGGAGAGAAGGAGCUCGGUGAAGUGAGAUGGAGAGGGAGGAAACGGCUCGAUCCACGUCGAGUGGGUGCAGGGUUGCAAGAAAGCCCGUCGGAAACCCACCGGCGGUGCAGAUCCAAUUUGGGGAAAUCUGGGGCACCGUGGGUCGGAGACGAGGGGAGGGAGAUGAGUCACGGGAGGGAGAGAUGGAGAGAGAGGCACCAGCUGUAGGGGAGAUGGAGGUCGGUGAAGUGAGGUGGAGAGAGAGGAAAUGACUACAUGACCUCGGUGAGAAAGGGGAUCGAGAAAGCUAGCCCGAAGCGACGAAGUGGAUGAGAAGAUAGCCAGGGGUAGCUUGGGGAUUUGUCACUCACGGGCCAAACAGCGUAAAAGGGCGGUGGGAACUGUUGUUCCCACCCCACAGCUCUUAUCCCCAUGGUGGUGGGAAUAACAGUUCCCAGUUCCCACCACCAACAAAGAUGUUUGGGUAUAAGCUGGGGGAUAAGAGCUAAUCCUCUAGCUUAUUCCAAAUCCAAACAGUACCCAAAAGUAUAAGAGAAUGUCUUAAAAGGCAAUUCCAUGGCUCCUUUUUAAUGUUUUAUUUAUGAUUGUGGAAAAAACGUGUUACGUGCAGGAAAAAAAAAAAUACAAUGGAAAAAUAUUCUGUAAUAUCACAUUUAAAUUCGACAUACUACAAUGUCAUCCUAUAAAAAAAAAAUAUAGAAAAAUAUAUUCAUAUAUUCUCUCGCCUCACUUUCAUUUUGCCUACUAGCAUUAGAUGGGCCUUAAUAUCUAACCUACUAGCAUUAGAUGGGCCUUAAUAUCUAAUGGGCCAUAACUCUAUAACGAGACCCAAUUGAAAAUAUGACUAAAAAACCACACGCUUGUAAAGCCUUUUGGACCCUAGUCCAUUUGUAGAAUCGAGACAACAAAACCUAGAUAUUGACCCUUACAAUUAUGUUUCUUCCUUCUCUUUUCUCAAAGCCUAAACAAAUUUAAGGUAUUUGAAUUAUAUGAUCUUCAUUAGUAACCUAGUACUACUCGAAUAAUUAAACAGUACUUGAAUGAUGUAUUGACAUAUUUAUUAUCCCUUUCUUUCUCUACAUUAAUACACAAUCACCGACCGUCCCUAGAGCAAGUGGCAAAGUGCUUGAUGAUUGGUACCCGAGGUUCUAAAUUCGAAUCCUAGUUGAUUCAUAUUUUCAGCUAAGAUUAUUUCUAAAUGAAAUAAACGAAGCGGGUAGUAUGCUACGAACCUAUCUCUCUCAAAAAAAAAGAAAAAAAGAAAAAAAAAAACACAAUACAGAUCUUACUUCUUAUUUCUAUGAAAUUAAAUAAAAGUUUGGUAGACACUUUCCUCCGGUUAGCAAGAUCCCUUUUUUUUACUGUAACAAUGCUAACUAUUAAUGGAGGUACGUGGCUCCUGUGUUUCUUUCCUUCCUGCUGCUUGUGCCCUUUUGUACUUAUUGAUUUAUUCUUUUAUUUUUCUUUCUUCUCUUUUUUUGUUCUUAAUUUUCUUCCGUUGUACACACGUACGCAAGAUAUCUAAAUUUUUGUGUAUACAUACACCUGAGCAAAGUACGAUAAGAAAGUACAAAAAAAAAAAAUCUACUUGCUUUUAUACGUAAUAUUGUGAUUUUAAUAUCGUAGUAAAUCUGUUAUGAUAUAUCUUUUACGGUCCCCAAUAGAAAAUAGAUAAGCAUAUUUUUAUAUAUUUUCGUUUCAAAUUCUGUUAUGUCUAUUAAUGUUGGAUACGGAUCGUUUAGUAUCAGAUAAAUUCAUUCUAUUCAGAUUCGGAUUUAGAUCAUACCAAUUGACAUCUCUAGUAAAACUGUCCAGCCUGUCUUGGUAUGACCGUUGGCCGUGCUUUUUUUGGAGAGGCAUCUAGUUUUACAGUGAUGCGAAAAAAUUUUAUGUAAAAAAAAGGCCUAAUCAAUCAUUCAUCAAAUCUUAUCUCAUGCAAUAUGCGGAAUUUAAAACGGUGAUGUAUAUAUGGUUAAAUCUUUAAAGAGUUUCAGAGUCAAUUCCCAAAACAGUUAGAUGUAUUAAAUGGAGAAACCAUUUUAUUAUGUACAGAUCUGAUAAUUUGUAUUUAAAUAUUCCACGUAAUUUUUGUCCUGAUGCAUGCGGAACGAGCAAGAUGCCUCACUUUGACCAGUCCUUGGGUUUCUGCAUACGACGUGAGGUAGGUGACACAAAUUUUAAUCCAAUGCUAAUGAUAAAAUAAUCUUAUGUCUUAGUUGCGUAAUCUACUUAAAUUGAAGUGUUGAACACUGCCUCUCAAUCUCCACCGUUCAAUCUCUCCACCUUCUCUAGAUCGACGCACAAUAUCGAUCUUUUCUUUCAACACGUAGCUCCAAAUAUUAUAUAUUAUCACUAACAAGUAACCCGUGAGAUACGUAGAUUAUGAUCAUCAUUUUUAAUUUUAAUUUACUAUAGUUCAAAUUUUUUUAAUUAUUUUUGAAAAUAGGGAGUGGGUGUUUAGAUUUUAUCUUAUCCUACCAUAGAAAAAGGAAAGUAAAACGAAGAGUUUUUUUUUUAAAAAAAAAAACUAAUCAUUUCCGACUCUAAUUAAUCCGUUUGAACAAAAAUCAACGUUUUUUUUUGAGAAUAAGGUACCAUGCUAUCCGCUUCAUUCAUUGAAAAGAUGAAUUAAGCUACAGGAGUGAGGCAGCUAGGCUUGGGUUCGAAAAAAAAAUAAAAAAAAAUAAAAAAAAAAACUACUGAUUAACGAUAAGUGUUGAUCCCAUUCGGAAGACAACUGAUUAACCUUACAAACAGCUUUGAGGGGGUCAAACCGAAUCAAUCUGAAAAUUAAGUCGUUUCUGCACUCCCAUAUGGUCCACCAACAAGCCGGAAGUUUUGGGGUCCUUUGCGGCAUAGAAUGUGGGCCCUUCCUAACCGCCCACCUGUAUAUAAUUGACGUUGAAAUGCCAAAAGUACAGUAUAUAAUUGAUUAAAAUUCAUUAAAUUAUAACUAUUAAUUUAGACUACGUUUAGUUCGGAUGUAAAUAAAAACUGUUUAUUUUUGAAAUAGAUACAAGUUUUUUUUUUUUGAGAGAUAAAUAGAUACAAGUUUAGAUAUAAGCAAGAAUUAAAGUAAAUUUUAUUUGAAUGAAAAUUGGGUUGUUUAUGGAAAUAAUCAUAAUAGUAUUUAGAUAGUUAAAUUAGAAUAGGCGGAAUAAAAAUAAUUAUAAUUCUAAAUUAAUAAUAUUUUAGCUAAUUAAUUAAUAUCAAAAUAUUAAUUGAAAAUAGUUUAAUAGAAUAAAAAUUUAUCAGCUACCAAUAUUGAAUAAGAUAAUGAGAAAAAUGUAUUACCUAUUAAUUAAUUAUUCAAUUACAUACUUAUAAAAUAUAACUUAACUUUUUAAUUAAUUAGUAAAUUAUUUUAAUUAGUUGGCUGAUUUGUUAAGAAAUUAAUUUAAUUAGUGGACCAAUAUAAAUAUUAAUUAUUAGAUAAAUACAUUGAAUAAUUAAUUCUUAAUUAGUUAAUUAACCAUAAAUAAUAAACUAAUUAAUUACUUAACUAUUUAAGCAAAUAGAUAAUGACUUAAAUAUAUUAAUUAGAUUAAUUAAUAAGUUAAUAUAAUAAUUAAGAUUAGAUUUAAACUUGUUUCUACUUGAGAACAAGCUUAUUACAGGGAGAGGGCAGAAUAGUUAUUCCACCCUUAUUCUCCCUUAUUCCUAAUCAUUAAGAACUAUAAUUUUCAAAUGCAAAAAAUUCGUUAUUUGGCGGCUCGUGGUUCAAUAAUUUGGAAAUCAUGCAUGCUCUCUUUUGGUGCACCUAUAUGCUUUCUAUUAUUCGUCAAAUUAAUCUACAAAAUAAAUUUCUUCUUCUUCUUUUUUUUUUUUUUUUGAGUUGUACAGUGACAAAGCCGUUGGUUGGAACGUCACCUCAACUGUCUCUGUUAUCGGUAAAAACAAUAUGCUAUAGGUCAACUCAAAGGCUUAUUUCCUCCGUUAGAUUUGGCAAUAGUUCAUGAACUCGAAAAAUUUGCAAAGCAAGAAGGAUUUUGGUCAAGCACCACCACACAUGCAAAUGCCGGGGUUGGAAGUUCUCUUCGGAAUCUGCGCGGAGAAGCUCGCCGCUCUGAUCCACGACAAAGCGGCGGCGAUUCUCGGGGUGAAGGAAGAGCUGGGGAAGCUGCAGAGGAGGAUGGACCGGAUCGACUGCGCACUGAAGGACGCAGGAUGGCGAAGGACCGAUAAAGAAGCCGCCACCACCACCAGCUGUUGGUUGAGCGAGCUGAAAAGCAUCCUGCAUGAAGCGGGCGACGUGUUUGAUGACUGCAGGUCCGAGGGCGGCAAGCUGCUCGACAACGAGCUGCCGUCCGCAUCGUCAGGUCUGUCGAUUCUCCGCUGCAUCCCUUUGAUCUCUAACUUCAACUCAGUUCCAUUUCGUAACAAGCUAGCGGAUAGAAUCAGAAAGCUCAACAAUAGAAUCGACGAGGUCGCGAAGGACGCAUGGAUCUUAAAUCUUGAGCCUGUAAGGUCGGAGGGUCGAGCGGCGAGCACGUUGUACACGCGCGAGACUUGUGAGAUCGUGGAGGCCGACGUUGUCGGGAGAGAGAUCGAAGAUGCUACCGACAGACUGGCGGACGUGAUAGCCACGAAUGAUCGACGGAAUUUUCAAGUGACUGCUGUAACAGGUAUGGGGGGCAUCGGCAAGACCACGCUCGCUCAGAAGGUGUACAACAAUCCUAGAAUCCGGGAGAACUUCCGGGUGAGAAUUUGGAUUUGCAUCUCCCAAAAAUAUUCAGCUGUUCAAUUGCUACAGGAGAUCACUCGAAAAGCAGGAGGUAGUCACGGAAGUGCCGAACGGGUUUCGGAACUGCUCCCUAUUCUCAGCUGGACUCUUGCAGGGAGGAGCAUCUUUCUUGUGCUGGAUGAUGUAUGGCAAUCGGACGUAUGGACUGAUUUACUUCGAAAUCCGCUGCAAAAUGGAGCAGCUAGCGGAUGUAUUCUGGUAACCACGAGAGACCAAAACGUUGCGAUGAGAAUGGGCGCGAAACACAUUCACCAGGUGGAGAAAAUGACUGUUGAUUCAGGCUGGGAGUUGCUUUGCAAGAAAACCUAUCUAGAAGAAGAUGCACAAAGUUUGAGAAGCGUAGGCGUUCAGAUUGUUAAUAAAUGCGGCGGCCUUCCGCUUGCAAUCAAAGUGAUUGCCGGUGUCUUAACUAGCAAGGAGAAAAGCAGAAAAGAGUGGGAGAGAGUUCUCAAAGGCAAUGCUUGGUCUAUGAGUGAGCUCCCCGAGGAAUUCAGAGGUGCUCUCUACUUGAGUUACGACGAUUUGCCGCCUCAUCUGAAGCAAUGCUUUCUUUCGUUAUGCCUUUACCCUGAGGAUGAUGUACACUCCAUUAGGGAUCUUCGCAGAAUGUGGGUGGCAGAAGGGUUCGUCAAUCAAGAAGAAGGUUCAAUAAUGGAAGAGUUAGCCGAGCAGUACUACUUCGAGCUAAUACGUAGGAGUCUACUACAACCUCAUCCUCUCUAUGUGGAUCAGGGCAGGUGCAGAAUACACGAUCUCCUGCGAUCUCUCGGUCAAUAUUUGUCACGAGGUGAAAGCUACUAUGGAGAUUCACAGUCCUUGGAUGCUACUGCAAUCUCAAAGCUUCGCCGCUUGUCAAUUGCUGAGAGCGAAGAGAUUGUUACAAUCCCUGGUUCAGAAACUGAGCGGUUACGCUUGAGGACAUUACUACUAACUAAAAGUCCACCUAGAAUUGAGCACAAUCUUUUCUCUAGAGUUCCGUACCUCCAAGUUUUGAUUCUUAAUGGAAAAGGGAUAGAAUGCGUUCCUAAUAGUGUGGCAAAUCUAAUACACCUCCGAUUGUUAGACCUUGAUCGGACUAGUAUAUCCAUGCUGCCGUGCUCUAUCGGCUCCCUAACAAAUUUGCAGACUCUAAACCUACAACAUUGCGAAUUUCUGAACACACUUCCAAGGAGCAUCACUCACUUGUGCAGUCUUAGACGGCUUGGCCUUCUUGGUACCCCUUUAAGGCGUGUCCCCGAAGGAAUAGGGAGACUGCAACUGCUCAAUGACCUCGAAGGAUUCAUUAUUAACGCGGGCGAUAGUUGCAAUACCGAACGAAAUAGUUGGGACUUGGAAGAAUUAGAAUCACUUGGCCAACUAAGGUGGCUCCAAUUAUCUAUUUUGGGGGGGAAACGGAACGCAAAUUCCGUGCAAUCCACUGAUGGCAUAAUAGAUCAAUCGCUGACAGUAACUCAUCCAAGGAAUAGGGCUUUUGUACUUGAAGAUAAAGCCUUCCUAAAAGAACUAGAUAUAUCCUGUAGACCACAGACGGAGAGGGAAAAAGUGUCGCCAUACACAGAGGUGGAGAUCAGUAAGAUUGAAGAUAUCUUUGAGAAAUUGCAACCCCCACCUUGUUUAGAAGAAUUACGGAUCCAAAAUUUUUACGGUGAGCAAUUUUCGAGUUGGAUGUCGCUGCCAUCUUUGGGUGCUUAUUUUCCUUAUCUAACAUAUGUGAGUUUCAUAGGUUUGCAACUAUGCUCACAACUUCCACCUCUAGGCCAAUUGCCGCAUUUGAGGUAUCUCCAAAUCAGAGAGGCUUUGGCCAUUGUAACUAUUGGUCCAGAAUUACUCGGUAAUGGGGUUGGCGACGGGGUGCACGCAGCAACAGUGUUUCCUAAGCUUGAAUUUCUUAUCUUGGUAAACAUGCCUAAUUGGGAAGAAUGGUCAUUGGUUGGCAGUGAAACAGGAAACUCAUCAUCUCGCUCGCUUCGAGUUAUGCCUCGUCUGGAGGUAUUGCGUGUAAGAGAUUGCCCAAAACUCAGAGCGCUUCCAAAUGGUUUGCAGCAACUCAGAGCACUCCGGAUUUUCAAUGUUGCACGAGCUCAUAGCCUAAGUGUAAUUGAGGACUUCCUAUUCAUAACUGAGCUUAAAAUUGAAAUGAAUAAUGGCAUAGAAAGGGUCUCAAAUCUUCCUGGACUAAAGAAGCUCACCAUUUGGGACACUCCGGCUCUGAAGUGCGUCAAUAAUUUGGUUGCACUACAAUGCCUGGAGUUGCAAGAUUAUUCUAGAGAGUCCAUCCCAGAAUGGUUGUUGAGACUGGUCCAGCAGCGACUGCAUCUCCGCGACAACAACCUCCAACUUGUGAUGCGCUGCAGUGCUGCCGUAAUUCAGAGAUGCCUCAAGGGAGGUCCGGACUGGCCUAUCAUCAAGUGCUUUUCUCGUGUUAGCGCCUACACCGAAGAUAGAUCAAUAUAUCUUGAAUAUACCAAGCAAACUGGGUGCUAUCGAACUAAUCAAUGAAGGUAACAUCGGUUAAAACUUUCCUACUUCUCUUCUCAUUUUCCUUUUUUUUACUUUUUCCUUGUCGAUUAGUGGUCAUGUACUUCAAACUUUUACGUAUGGCAUCAUCUCAAAUCUAAAACUUAACUGCAUGCAUUAUCGAUGCUAGUUCAUGAUAUUCCGUAGUUUUCUCUCCACUUGGAGGAGCUUGCGAAAAUGCCAGGCUAACUGCACUUUUAUUGUUUUUUUAAAAUAAAAAUUCCGCUUCAAUAAAAAUUCCAAUCACUUGAAUUUUUAAUUUAUUUCAAUUAAUCACUCAGCCCUAAUUUUCCUGUAAGCUUAUGUAGACUCCUUUUUUUUCCCUUUUUUUUUUUUCUUCCGAGGGGCAAGCAUUGAAAGAUGCCCUCCCAGGCAUGUUUGUUUAGGUGAAAGUAAGACGGAAGUGGAGAGGGAAAAAGUUAUUUUCGCUAUAAUCGUACACUUUCCUUAUUUGGUUUGCCGUAAAAAAGUUACGGUAGAAACUCGAGUUAACCUAAAAUGACGUAAUUGACUUCGGUCUAUCGUGGGUCGAAGUUAAUUACGGUGAAGGAAGGUAAACGAAAAAUAAUAAUAAAAUAAUAUACUAGGUAAAAAUACUUAUAUUUAAAUAUAUUUAAUUAUAGUACUAAUUACUCUUUUAUUUAGUUGGCAUAUUUAAAAUAUGAUAAAAAUUGAUUAAUUAAGUUUUAAUAUUUUCUUCAUUUAUUUUGUACAAUUAUAUAACUAAAAUUUAUGUAUAAAAAACAAUAUAAUUAUUUUAAAUUAAAUUAUAAUUAUAUAAAAAUAUAAUUAUAUUAUUUUUAUUAAUUAAAUUAUUUAUUAUUUAUAUAUAAAUUAUAGUUUUACAUUAUACACUUCUUACCAAACAAACAGCAGAACUAAUAAAACUUCAAUUCCAUAAUUACAAAACAAAUAGCGAAAAAGAAGUAGUUUUUACCAAACUUUACUACAACCGAGAGUCCACUUCAACCCAAAAUCUAAUUGCAUGGCUCCCUUCAGGUUUCGUCUAUGGUUGCUAAAAAAAUGUGUUAUUUGUAGGAAAAAAAUACAAUUGAAAAUAUUAUUUUGCAAUAUCGCAUUCCGGAUACCACUGUAUCAUCCUAUGAAAAUAUAUAAAGCAAUGCUUCAAUACAUCACAAAUAUUACUUUAAUUAGUACAUGGUAUAGUUGGAUUUACAUAAAGUAACCUGCUGAAUAGUUUAGCUAUUUGGAUUAGUUAAUAUGAUAAUAUUGGAAAAAAAUGAGUAGUAUAUAUAAAAUUUGUUAGUGUUCUUAAAUUUUAAACUUCUUAUUUAAUUUUGUUACUUACCAAAUUAGAUAAUACCCAAUUUGCUAAAUAUCAUGCUAAAAAAAAUAUUAAAUUUAAAAUUUAAUUUUUGAAUUUGGUAUUGUAAUGUAAAAUUUUAAUUUUUGAAAUUUUAAAUUUUGAAUCUAAAUUGUAAUUUUAAUCUUAAAGCCAAAUUUCAAUUCUUGAUUUAUAUUGAAAUUUUGAAUUUGAACGGAAAUUUUUAUGUUAAAUUUGUGUUUAAUAUUUUAAAAACAUUGAACUUGAUUCAUAAUUAAGUUUUUUAUGUUAUUCCAAAUUAAAUUCACAGUCUGGAUGUAAUUUAAAUUUCAAUUAUUGUUGUAGGUAUUUGAAAAGUUUAUGGUACUCCUAGUUGGAUAAAUACGGUCUUGUGGAUCAAAACAUACUGCAAAGAUCAAAAUACCCUUUAGAUAGGUACCUAGUGAAUGGUAUCUAUAUCUCGGUAGUAUAUUAUAUGUCAAAUCACUUAUUUAGAAAAAUAAAUUGCCGAGGUUUACUUGGUGUAUGGAAGCAUUGCUCAUUUAUAUGUUCAUAUAUGCUUUCGCCUUGCCUCUUUUUUGUUUUUUUUUUUUUUUUUUUUUUUUUUUUUUUUUUUUUCAGCUCCACGAGGCAUAGGAUGUCUCACCCAUGUAGCUUAAUUCAUACCUCCAACGAAUGAAGCGGGUAGCGUGCUAUCUAUUUCUCUUAAAAAAAAGAAAAGAAAAGAAAAUAUGACUAAGUCAACAUGCUUGUAAAGUCUACCGGACCCUAAUCCGUAUGCAGAAUCGAGCCAACUAUAGGCCUUAAACACAGCCCAGCUAUUGACCCUUACAAUCUUUUGCUUCUUCCUUCUGUUUUCUCAAAGCCUAAACAAAUUUAAGGUAUUUGAUUUAUUUGAUCUUUAUUAAUUAGUAACGUAUUACUGCUAAAAUAAUUGAACAGUAAUUGAAUGAUGUGUUUACAUAUUUAUUAUCCCUUUCUUUCUCUACAUUAAUACACACAUGAAUCUUACUUCUUAUUUCUAAGAAACUGAAAAAAAGUUUGGUAGACACUUUCCUCCGGUUAGCAAGAUCCCUUUUUUUUUUCUUUAACAGUGCUACCUAUUAAUGGAGCUGGCUCCUGUGUUUCUUUCCUUCCUCCUUCUUGUGCCCUUUUGUACUUAUUGAUUUAUUCUUUUCUAUUUCUUUCUUCUCUUCUUUGAUCUUAAUUUUCUACCAUUGUAUACAUGCAUACGCCCGCAAGAUAUUUAAAUUUUCAUAUAUAUAUAUACACCUGAGCAAAGAAUGAUAUGAAAGAACAAAAAAAAUAAUUCUAUUUAUUUUCAUAUGUAAUAUCGUAAUUUUAAUAUCAUAGUAAAUCCAAAUUAUCAUAUAUUUUUUGGUGUCCUCAACAAAAAAAAAAAAUAGAAAAUCAUAUUUUUAUAUAUUUUCGCCCCAAAUUCUGUUUUGCCUGUUGACCUUACAUACGAAAACAUACUGAACGGGCCCUUUGCCGGUUGGCCCGGUUAUGCUUUGAGUUCUAGUGCCUGAAUUUGGAGUUUAGGCCUUUGUAGCUUUUUAGGCUUUUGCUGGUAGUUUGAUGGCAUUUCUUAGUUGUUCUCUGUUCAUCUAGGGGAGCAUAUCUACUGUAUUUCUCCUAGUAUUUUUGAAGACUCUCAAUAUCCUUUUGUAAUCAUCUGCCACUAUAGAGAGAGGGUUUAUCAAGUGGCUUGUUUGUCCUCUUUUUAUUUGUUAUUCACUUGUGCUGUUCCCAGUUAAAUAAAACUUGCCUAUACGUCGAGUGUUCUAGCUCCAAAAAUAUAUAUAUUCGUUUAGCAUUGUAUAAAUUCGCUCCGUUCAGAUUCGGAUUUGAAUCGUAUCUUUUGACAUCUCUAGUAAAGUUGUCCAGCCUGGCUUGGUAUGACCAUUGGCCAUGCCUUUUUUUGAAGACGCGUCUAGUUUUAUAGUGUUGCGAAAAAAUUUUAUGUCAAAUAAGGUCUAAUCAAUCAUUCAUCAGAUCUCAUCGCAUGUAAGGAUUUUAAAACGGCGAUGUAUAUAUGGUUAAAUCUUUUAAAAGGUUUUUGGAAUGGGCCUGAAACUCGUGUUUCAAACGGAGAAGCCAUUUUAUCAUGUAUAGAUAUUGUUAGUUAAUUCACGAAUUUUUAAAGAAAUAAAUUAAACGGCUGUAUUUGUAUUUUUCCAAAAAAUUCAAAAAAGCACGUGUUUUUUUGGUCAAAAAUACUUAUUUGCGAAUAAUUCGCGAGCUCCGAAUUAUUCGCCCAAAAAUACAGUUCCGCUCUCGUGCCCGCGCCAACGCCCCUGGGUCGCGGGCCUCACGGUCGCGGGUCACAGGCCUCGCGGCUCGCUCACGCUCACAGUCGAGGGUCGCAGGCCUCACAGCUCGCCCAAAACAGAAAAAACAAAACUCUUUCCAAACGUUCACCACGCCCAAAAUAGAAAAGAGAUGAAAAGAAAAAUCCUUUUCAAAUGGUUCGCCCUGCUCCCCCCGUAAAAAAAAUCAUUCGAUUAAAAAAAUUUAAUUUCUUAUAGACUAUCUUAAUCUCUUAUUUGCUUAAUUAUUUAUUUAUUUAUUUUGAGUCAUAAUAUAGUUUGUUAUUUUUUUUACUUAAUUAGCGAGCUUAUCUCAUCUCAAGCUUGGCUUGAAAUUAAUUUCAAACCUAAAUUUAGGCUUAAGCUCGGCUUGAAAUUAAUUCGAGCCGAGCUCGAGCGAGCCUAAUUUCGAGUCGAGCGAGCUCAAGCCCUAAACGAGCUGUUUGAAAUUCUUAACACCGUGCAAUCUAUAGUUUAAUUUUUAUAAAACAUUAUCUAAAAUUCCAUACAAAAAAUGUCUAAUAGCUCAACAUACAAAAUGAAUGCAUGAAAUACAAUAUUAUAAGAUUAAAAAAAAAGGAAAAGCGAUUCUGUGAGUGAGUGAAAAAGAGAGAAAAAGAGAGAAAUUAGAGUACAAUUUUGCUGGUUUGAUUUUGUGGGCCCAAUAAUCUAAAUUCUAUAUACAUAUAAUUAAAAUACAUAAUAUAUAUUAUUUUAUAUAAUUAAAAUAUAUAUUAUAUAUAAUUAUAUAGAGAGAGAGUUCGGCUACUAUACUCUUAUUAGUAUAGACCCCUUUAUACUCAUAAGUUUUCGAUUGUUAGAUCUAUACUUUUGACUAUUUCCAUCCGUAAAUCAUACUAUUCAACCAAUCAUCCACCCAAUCCUAGGGGACCACUAUCAUCCUAAUUGCACAUCCAACGGCCAAAAAUUUAUAAGUAUAAAAAGGUCUAUACUCAAAAGAGUAUAGUAGCCAUAGCCUAUAUAUAUAUAGAAUUAGAUUACUAUACUAUUAAUAGUACCAACCGCUUGUUAUUAAGUUUUCGGCCCUUAGAUGAAGGAAUGUGUGGUCAGGAUAAUUGUAGCCCCUUAGGGUUGAGGAGGUGAGUAGUUGAAUAGUAUGAUCUAAUGGAUGAAAAUGAUUAAAGAGGUAGAUCUAACGGUAGAAAACUCGAUAGCACCAAACGCUUGGUACUAUUGAUAGUAUAGUAACAGAACUCUAUAUAUAUAGAUAGAUCUAACGGCAGAUAACUCGAUAGCACAAAACGAUUGGUACUAUAAAUUGUAUAAUAGUCGGACUAUAUACAUAUAGAGAGAGAGUCCGGCUACUAUAUUAUCGAUAGUACCAAAUGCUUAGUACUGUCGAAUUUUUUACCGUUAGAUCUACCCCUUUGAGCAUUUUCACCCGAUAGAUCAUAUUAUUCAACUAAUCACCCNUUAAUAGCAUAAAUUUUGAGAGAAAAAAAUUUAAUUUAAUAGCUGAAUUUUUUAUUUCGAAUUUUUAAAGGAUGAACGUAUAAUAUCCGUAUAAAUCACGUAUAUGAAUAAUUGACGAAUUUGUGUUUUAGCCAUAUUUUUUAACGAAUUUAAAAAUAAAAAAAUAAAUUUUAUCCGAAUUAUAACUGUAUCGAAUUUUUGUCAAAUCCGAAUUAACUAUGGCACAGAUUUGAUAAUUUGUAUUUAAAUAUUCCAUACAAUUUUUGUCCGAUGCAUGCGGAAUGAGGAAGGUGCCUCACUUUGACCAGUACUUGGGUUUCUGCAUACGCGUGAGGUAGAUGACACAAAUUUUAAUCAAAUAUUAAAGAUAAAAUAAUCUUAUUGUCUUAGUUGCAUAAUCUACUCAAAUUGAAGUAUUAAACCCUGUAUCUCAAUCUCCACCGUUCGAUCUCUCCACCUUCUUUAGAUCGACGCACAAUAUCUUUUCUUUCAACACGUAGCUCCAAAUAUUAUAUAUUAUUACUAGCAAGUAACCCGUAAGAUAUGUAGAUUAAGAAGCAUUGUGGAGAACCCGAGCAAAACAGCAUUGGCUACAGGAGGGUGACAAUAAUACCAAAUUCUUCCAUGCUGUAGCCAAUGGCCGGAUGAGAACAAACAGAAUUGACGUGAUCGAAGAGAGUGGGACGGUGCAUCACUCUGAAGAGGAUAAACAGAAUGUCUUAUUUCAAAAUUUUAAAAAGCUUUACUCAUCGGAUGAGUUGGCUCCAUCAUCAUUUGGGGACUGGAGUGAGCUUUUCAGGAUGACGCGGGUUAGCCCUACCGAUCAUGUGCNUUUAUCAAGUGGCUUGUUUGUCCUCUUUUUAUUUGUUAUUCACUUGUGCUGUUCCCAGUUAAAUAAAACUUGCCUAUACGUCGAGUGUUCUAGCUCCAAAAAUAUAUAUAUUCGUUUAGCAUUGUAUAAAUUCGCUCCGUUCAGAUUCGGAUUUGAAUCGUAUCUUUUGACAUCUCUAGUAAAGUUGUCCAGCCUGGCUUGGUAUGACCAUUGGCCAUGCCUUUUUUUGAAGACGCGUCUAGUUUUAUAGUGUUGCGAAAAAAUUUUAUGUCAAAUAAGGUCUAAUCAAUCAUUCAUCAGAUCUCAUCGCAUGUAAGGAUUUUAAAACGGUGAUGUAUAUAUGGUUAAAUCUUUUAAAAGGUUUUUGGAAUGGGCCUGAAACUCGUGUUUCAAACGGAGAAGCCAUUUUAUCAUGUAUAGAUAUUGUUAGUUAAUUCACGAAUUUUUAAAGAAAUAAAUUAAACGGCUGUAUUUGUAUUUUUCCAAAAAAUUCAAAAAAGCACGUGUUUUUUUGGUCAAAAAUACUUAUUUGCGAAUAAUUCGCGAGCUCCGAAUUAUUCGCCCAAAAAUACGGCUCUGCGCUUGCACCCGCGCCCACGCCCGCUCCCCCGCCCCAGGGUCGCGGGCCUCGCAGCUCGCUCACGCUCACGGUCGCAGGUCGUAGGCCUCACGGCUCACCCAAAAUAGAAAAAAAAAAAACUCUUUCCAAACGUUCACCUCGCCCAAAACAGAAAAAAGAAAAAAAAAAUCCUUUCCGAAACGUUCGCCCUCCUCCCCCCGUAAAAAAAAAAAAUUACUCGAUCAAAAAAGUUUAAUCUCUUAUAAACUAUCUUAAUCUCUUACUUGUUUAAUUAUUUAUUUAUUUUGAGGCAUAAUAUAGUUUGCUAUUUUUUUACUUAAUUAGCUUAAUUUUGUAACUCUUUAUUCUUAUAUUCUUAAGAAAUAUGAAUAUUUAUAUUAAUAGCAUAAAUUUUGAGAGAAAAAAAUUUAAUUUAAUAGCUGAAUUUUUUAUUUCGAAUUUUUAAAGGAUGAACGUAUAAUAUCCGUAUAAAUCACGUAUAUGAAUAAUUGACGAAUUUGUGUUUUAGCCAUAUUUUUUAACGAAUUUAAAAAUAAAAAAAUAAAUUUUAUCCGAAUUAUAACUGUAUCGAAUUUUUGUCAAAUCCGAAUUAACUAUGGCACAGAUUUGAUAAUUUGUAUUUAAAUACUCCAUAUAAUUUUUGUCCGAUGCAUGCGCAACGAAGAAGGUGCCUCACUUUGACCAGUACUUGGGUUUCUGUAUACGCGUGAGGUAGAUGACACAAAUUUUAAUCAAUAUUAAAGAUAAAAUAAUCUUAUUGUCUUAGUUGCGUAAUCUACUCAAAUUGAAGUAUUAAACUCAAUCUCCACCGUUCAAUCUCUCCACCUUCUCUAGAUCGACGCAAAAUAUCGUUUCUUUCAACACGUUGCUCCAAAUAUUAUAUAUUAGUAUUAGCAAGUAACCCAUAAGAUAUGUAGAUUAAGAUAGACCUGGCAAACGGGCAGGUUAGGUAAUCCGCUGGCGGGUCAUUGUACCCGCGGGUUAUUUGGGCAUGAAUAAAAUUUAUCCGUAAAUUUUUUGGGUAGCCAACAUUUUUAUCAAUACCCGUCCACGUGUGGGCGGAUGGAUAUGCAGGUUACCCAGUAUUUUUUUUUCUCUUAUAUUUUUUAAAUAUAAAAUACAUAUAUAUAAGUUUUAAAAACGUAACAUAAUUCAUUAUUUAAAAUAUUAUAACAUACAAUAAAACUAUUUAAAGUUUUAAAGCAAAAACAUAUCAUAAUAUAAAUGACACGCGAUAAGAAAUUAUAAUUAGGGUUUUUAAAAUAGAUAAAUAAAAAUAUAUAUUUUUUAAUUAAAAAAUAUAUUAUAUAAUAAAAAAAUAUAUAUGCGGGUACUCGUGGGUACCCGUAGGUUACCCAAAAUGCUCACAGCUUAAUGGGUACCCACCCAUUUUACCUGUAAUUUUUUUGGUUGAAAAAGUUGGUAUUCAUACCUGCAAAUUUGCGGGUAACCAGCGGACACCCGCGGAUAUGGGUCGAGAUUGCCAGCUCUAAAUUAAGAUCAUCAUUUUUAAUUUUAAUUUAUUAUAAUAAAAAAAAUUAAUUUUUUUAUGAAAAAUAGACAGUGGGUGUUUAGAUUUUAUCUUAUCCUAUAAUAGAAAAGGGAAACUAAAACUAAGAGUUAAAAUAAAAACUAAUCAUUUCCUACUCUACUUAAUCGCUUGAACAAAAAUCAAGGUUGAAAUGCUAAAAGUGUAUAUAAUUGAUUAAAAUGUAUUAAAUUAUGACUAUUAACAUAAGGUAUGCCAUCAUUGUAUAUUGUGACUAUUCAUGAGCAAUCAUUAUUUCCAUUUAUAACAGAGAAGAUUAUAAACUUGAAAACGGCAGAAGAAGUAAUGAAUAGUUAAGUAAGGUCUACAAAAGAAGACUUAAUAGUAAGAAAAUUAUAAGAAAAAUAUUAAAUCAAUUUGUGAAUUAAUUGAUGACAACAUAUUAAAUUGUGUAUAGUAUAGUACUUGUUAUAUGGCGGUUUAUGGUUCAUUUAGGAACCAUGCUUUCUCUUAGUACACCCAUGUUUUCUAUUAUCUGCCCAAUCAAUCUAAAAAAAAAAGUGUAUACCUAUAUUCGCUUCUUCUUUUAUUUUUUUUUUGAGAGAUAGGUGACAUGGUAUCCGCUUCGUUUAUUUCAUUUAGAAAUAAAUUUAGCUGGAAAUGUGAAUCGAUUAGAAUUCGAACUUGAAAUCUCGGAUACCAAUCACCAAGUUUUUUGCCACUUGAGCUAGGGACGGUCGGUCCUAUAUUCGCUUCUAAAACUCAUUAAGAUUAAAAAUAUUUUUAAUAAAAUUAGAAAAUAAUUGGACUAAAUUUAAUUGGCUAAUAAAAAUAGAAUAUGCUCUGAUAAAAUUAGGGUUUAAGAGAGAUAUAUCUAACACAAGCAACGCUAGUAUACCUAGAAAGAAAGUGUCCUUUGUAUAAAGGCCAAUAUUUGAUACUUAUUUUAGUAAUUUUUUUGAGUGAAGAGCUAAGUUUGCCAUCAAAAGGGGUUGUAUUUUCUAUAACUCCUCAUCCGAAAAUUGUAGAAUGGGCUUUUUUUGCAAAUAGCCCCCUGACAAAUUUUAUUUGCAAAAAUAGCUUCGUCCAAAAAUUAUUUACAAAAAUGGUCCUGCUCCUGCCACGCUAGCGCCACGUCAGCGCCACGCGAGCAGGGCGGGUCCAGGUGUUUAAGUUGAACACGGUGAACCAUUCACCGUGUUCAAUACAAGAUUUUUGUAUUGGACACGGUGAAUCAUUCACCGUGUCCAAUACAAAAACUUUGUAUUGAACACGGUGAAUGAUUCACCGUGUUCAACUUAACCAUCUGGCCCAGCCCCGCCCGCGUGGCGCUGACGUGGCGCUUGCGUGGCGGGGCCAGGGCCAUUUUUGCAAAUAAAUUUUUGACAGGGCCAAUUUUAAAAAAAAAAUUUGUAAGGGGGCUAUUUGUAAAAAAAGCCCUUGUAGAAUUUACUAACUUUUUUUAAUUUUUAGAAAAAAAAAAUGAUAGGAUUUAUAAAGAAAAUGUGACUUCUCUAUUAGUAAAGUUGUAGGAAUAUAAUACAAAGUUGAUAAUCGAACUAGCAUUAAUGUAGAAAGUAUUAAAAUAUUCUUUAAACCUCAGGAUGGCGUGUAACGUGCAAAGAUGUACUUAUUAAUUUGGCUGCACAUGCUAUUGUUUUCAACUGACAGAGCUGUUCGUUGGGAGGAAUUCUACACUGUCACACUUACACCACGUCAUUAAUAACAAGCCAAUCACAUUCCUUCUUUUCAAACAAAAGUACAAUAAAAAUACUUUUUUACAAUCAUGAUGGGACAUAUAUUCUUAAAAGGAUUAAUUUGAUUGAUUUGUUACGCCACGUUACUAAUAUAACCGUUGCAUUCUAGAAUUUUUCGUUCGUUGGAAGGUCACAUCAAUUGUCUCUGUCAUUGCUGAUAAAAUAACAUGGUAUGAGUCAACCCAAAGCCCUAUCUUCUUCUGAAUCAAGAGCAGCAGAAUAGAUCUCUGGCCAUAGCUGAACUCGAAACAUUUUGCAAAGCAAGAAGAAUUUGAUCGAGCACCAUCACCCAAAUGGCGACGCUGGACGCUCUUUUCGGAAACUGCUCAGAGAAGCUCGCUGCUUUAAUCCAGGAUGAGGUGGCGAUGAUUCUCGGAGUGAAGGAAGAGCUCCGGAAGCUGCAGAGGAGGAUGAAGCGGAUCGACGGCGCACUGAAGAAAGUAGAGCGGGAGAGGACCGAAGAUGCCGCUUGGUUGAAUGAGCUGCAAAGUAUCUUGCAUGAAGCGAACGAUGUCUUUGACGAACUCAGGUAUGAGCUGCCGUCCGCAUCUUCAUCAGUUCUGUCGAUUCUCUGCUGCCUUCCUAUAUUCUCUUUCUUCAACUCCAUUCGAGUUCGUCACAACUUAGCCGAGAGAAUUAGAGACCUCAACAAUAGAAUCGAUGCGGUUGCGAAGGACCAGUGGAUCUUUAAUCUUGAGUCGGUAAAUGCGACGGUGGGUCGAGUGGCGAGCAUGUCGUCCACGCGCGAGACUUGUGAGAUCAUGGAAGCCGACGUCGUUGGGAGAGAGAUCGAAGAUGCUACCGACGUAUUGGUCGAGAUGAUAGUCGCGAACAACCGACGGAAUUUUCAAGUGAUUGCUGUAGCAGGCAUGGGAGGGAUCGGCAAGACCACGCUCGCUCAGAAGGUGGACAACAAUCCUAGAAUCCGAGAGAACUUCCAGGUGAGAAUUUGGAUUUGCGUCUCCCAAAAAUAUUCAGCUGUUCAACUGCUACAGGAGAUCACUCGAAAAGCAGGAGGCAGCCACGGAAGUGCCGAACGGGUUUUGGAACUGCUCCCUAUUCUCAGCCGGACACUUGGAGGGAGGAGAAUCUUUCUUGUGCUGGACGACGUAUGGCGAUCGAACGUAUGGACCGAUUUACUCCGAAACCCGCUACAAAAUGGAGCAGCUAGAGGAUGUGUUCUGGUGACCACGAGAGACCAGAACGUUGCGAUGAGAAUGGGUGCGAAACACAUUCACCGGGUGGAGAAAAUGUCUGUUGCCUCAGGCUGGGAGUUGCUUUGCAAGAAAACCUAUCUAGAAGAAGAAGGAGAAGAUGCGCAAAGUUUGAGAAGUGUGGGGGUUCAAAUUGUUAACAAAUGCGGCGGUCUUCCCCUUGCUAUCAAAGUGAUUGCCGGUGUCUUAACCACCAAGGAGAAAAGCAGAAAAGAGUGGGAGAAAGUUCUCAAAAGCAAUGCUUGGUCUAUGAGUGAGCUUCCUAAGGAAUUCACAGGUGCUCUCUACUUAAGUUACGAUGAUUUGCCGCUUCAUCUGAAGCAAUGCUUUCUUUCGUUAUGCCUUUACCUUGAGGAUGAUGUACACCGCAUUUGGGAUCUUCGCAGGAUGUGGGUGGCAGAGGGGUUUGUCAAGCAAGAAGAAGGUUUAACAAUGGAAGAGUUGGCCGAGCAAUACUACUUCGAGCUAAUACGUAGGAGUCUACUACAACCUGAUCCUCGUCAUGUGGAUAAGAGCAGGUGCAAAGUACACGAUCUCUUGAGAUCUCUCAGUCAAUAUUUGUCACGAGAUGAAAGUUACUAUGGAGACCCACAGUCCUUGGAUGCUACUGCAAUCUCAAAGCUUCGCCGCUUGUCAAUUGCUGGGAGCGGAGAGAUUGUUACAAUCCCUGGUCCGGAAACUGAGCAGCUACGCUUGAGCACUUUACUACUAAUUAAGAGUCCACCUAGAAUUGAGCGCAAUCUUUUCUCUAGAGUUCCAUACCUCCAAGUUUUAAUUCUUAAUGGAAAAGGGAUAGAAUGCGUUCCUGAUAGUGUGGGAAAUCUAAUACACCUCCGAUUGCUAGAUCUUAAUCGCACUAACAUAUCCAAUCUGCCAGACUCUAUUGGAUUCCUAAAAAAUUUGCAGACUUUAAACCUACGACAUUGCAAAUUUUUGAACACACUUCCAAGGAGCAUCACUCGCUUAUGCAGUCUUAGACGGCUUGGCCUUUCACGUACCCCUUUGAGAUGUGUCCCUGAAGGAAUAGGGAGACUGCAACUGCUCAAUGACCUCGAUGGAUUCGUUAUUAACGCAGAUGUUAGUUGCAAUACCGAACGAAACAGUUGGGACUUGGAAGAAUUGAAAUCACUUGGCCAACUAAGGUGGCUCAAAUUAUCUAUCUUGGGGGGAAAACGGAACGCAAAUUCUGUGCACUCCGCGGAUGACCUGAUAGUUCAACCGCCGACAGUAACUCAUCCAAGGAAUACGGCUUCUGUACUUGAAGGAAAAGCCUUCCUAAAAGAACUAAUUAUAUUAUGUAGACCACAGAAAAAGAGGGAAAAAGUGCUGCCAUACACAGAGGAGGAGAUCAGUAAGAUUGAAGAUAUCUUUGAGAAAUUGCACCCUCCAACUUGUUUAGAACGAUUAUGGAUCCACAACUUUUAUGGUCGGCAUAUUCCGAGUUGGAUGCUGUCGUCAUCUUUGGGUACUUAUCUUCCUUAUCUAACAUCUGUGAAUUUCAAAGGUUUGCCACUAUGCCUACAACUUCCACCUCUAGGCCAGUUGCCACAUCUGUGGUAUCUCGGAAUCGAAAAUGCUUUUGCGAUUGUAACUAUUGGUCCAGAAUUACUCGGUAUUGGGGUAGGUGACGGGGUGCACGCAGCAACAGCCUUUCCUAAGCUUGAAUUUCUUAAUAUGGUAAACAUGCCUAAUUGGGAAGAAUGGUCCUUAGUUGGCAGUGAAACAGGAAACUCAUCAUCUCGCUCGCUGCGAGUUAUGCCUCGUCUGGAGGUAUUGUGUGUAAUAGAUUGCCCAAAACUUCGAGCACUUCCAAAAGGUUUGCAGCAACUCAGAGCACUCCAGAAUUUGAAAGUUGAACGAGCUCAUAGCCUAAGCGUAAUUGAGGACUUCCUGUUCAUAACUGAACUUAUAAUCAUAAAGAAUGGCUGCAUGGAAAGGAUUUCAAAUCUUCCUGCACUAAAGAAGCUCACCAUUUGCGGCACUCCGGCUCUAAAGUGCGUCCAUAAUUUGGCUGCACUACAACACCUAGAGUUGCAAGAUUAUUCUAUGGAAUCCCUCCCAGAAUGGUUGUUGAGACUGGUCCAGCAACGGGCGCAUCUUCACGACAAAAACCUCCAACUUGUGAUUCGCUGCAGUGUCGCCGUAAUUCAGAGAUGCCUCAAGGGAGGGCAUGACUGGCCCAUCAUCGAGUGCUUUUCUCAUGUCCGCGCCUACACCAAAGAUAGAUCAGCAUAUCUGGAAUAUACCAAGCAAACUGGGUGCUAUCGAACCAAUCAAUGAAAGUAACAUCGGCAAAAACUUUCCUACUCUUCUCAUUUUGUUUCUUUUCUUUAUCGAUUAGAUGUUUUGUACUUCAAACUGUUAUGUUGGUAUUGUCUCAAUUCCAAGGAGCUUUGGUUGUUCUUCUCAAUAAAAAUUCUGCUUCAAUAAUGGUGCUUCAUUUCCAUUAUUCUAAAAUUCCCUUCAGUCUGCCUUUUAAGUGAAUUUUAUUAUCUUAAGAUAAAAUUAUCUAGAACUUAUUUGAACUAUGGAUCAUUUUGAGUCAGCUAUCCAAUCUUUUAAAAUUUUGAUUUUACUAUCAAAUCUUUCAAUAUAUUUAUUUUGACUUAGUCAACAACAUUUUAAAUUCAAAAUUUAAGUUAAUUGGUUACUUCAAUAAAUUUAUAGUUGCAAAAAUUACAUGAAGUAUAUAUUGACUAAACCCGUAAAGAUAAACGAUGCAUUCCAAUUUUGAAGUUAAAACACCGUUGACUUACUCAAAUCAAAUAAAUUGAUAAAUUAAAUACUAAAAUCAAAAUUUUUAAAGAAUAGAUAGUCAACUCAAAAUGAUUUAUAGUUUGUAAUAAAUUUUGCACGUUUCACCUUAUCUUAACUCAAUUGUAGAAAUAUCAUAGUGUGGAAUGUAUAAAUAUUCUUUUGAUUUACAAAAGCCAUUUAUUGUGUGAGUGCAUGCAUUCUAUUUGCUCAUGCUGAAAAUAAGUACAUUUGAUCAGGCAAUCAACUGAUCAAAAGUCAGAUCCUUCAAUUGAUCCUUUCAGUUCUAUUAGAAGGAUCGGUUUAUUUUUUUGAAGAGAAAGGUAGCAUAUUACCGGCUUCCUUUAUUUUUUUUAGAAAAAAUUAGUUUGAAAUGUAAAGCAAUUAAAAUUUUGAAUUUGGGAUCUCAGAUAUCAACUACCAUGCCCUUGAGUCGUUUGUCACUUGUGCUAGGCACAGCUGGUUAGUAAGAUGGUUUAUGAUCUUUUUGUUGUGAGAGUUUGUCGAUCACUUUCGGGCCGUCGACCAAUUCACAGUGAAAGUUUUUAUUUUGAGAAAGAGGUAGCACGCUAUCCGCUUUAUUAAAAAAAAAAAUUAUCACAGUCAAAGUUACCUGGUUUUUUUCCUGAAACAAAGCCCUCUUUGGUUAGCUACUCCUGUAUCAAUAAUUUGAACAUUUUAGUCUUAAAAAAAAAAACAACAACUAAUCUGAACAUUUUGCUGAUAUAAACCUCUCAAUUAACUAAGCAACCAGGCUUCAUUGCUUAGCUGCAGUUUGGUUUCUAGGAAAAUCAUGAAAAGAAAUUGUGGAAAAGAUGUUUUUCAUGAAAAACUUUUUUUCAAACUUUUUUUUGGCCCAUUUGGUUCUAACUUUUUCAUGAUUUUUCUAACUUUUUUUCUUCUUUUUUCUUUUUUCUACAAAGGCUCUGAUUGCCUCACCUCUGUAGCCUAGUUCAUCAAUCCAAUUAAUGAAACGGAUAGCGUGCUACCUUUUUCCUCAAAAAAAACUUUUUUUUGGCCCAUUUGGUUCUAAGAAAAAUUUGUUUUUUAAGAAAUUUUUUUCUUGAUUUUACCAAAAAAUUAUUGUUUUUGUUUGCUUUUUUUUUUUGAAAAAAACGAAAACAAUAGUUUUCCAUGAAAUAUGGAAAUUCUUUUUUCCAAAUAAAGCUUUUUUUUAAAAUCAAAGAGGUGGAAAACUGAAAAAAAAAAUUCAGAAUAUAUUCUAUAAUAUCAUAUUUUGCAUACCACAAUGUCAUUCUAUAUAUAAAAAAAAGAAAAGCCAUAUUUAUGUAUGCUUUCGCCUUACUUCCAUUAAUAAGUAGACCUUAAUACCAAACAGAUCCUAACUCUACAACGUGACCCAAUUGAAAAUAUGACUAAAAGUCAACAUGCUUUUAAAGCCUAUUACACCCUAGUUCAUAUGUAGAAUCGAGCCCAGUAUAGACCUUAAACAAAGCCCAAAUACUGACCCUUGCAAUUUUAUGUUUCUUCUUUCUCUUUUCUCAAAGCCUAAAUAAAUUUAAGGUAUCUAAAUUUUCAUGUGUACACAUACACCUAAGCAAAAUACGACAAGAAAGUAGAAUAGCAAAACAAUCGAUAUCACAAUGAGUCCAUUAUGAUAUAUUUUCUACCGUCCCUAAUGAAAAAUUAAAAAGUAUAUUUUUAUAUAUUUUUGUUCCAAUUCUGUAGUGUUUUUAUUAGCAUUAUAAGCCUUCAUACUAAACGGGCGCUUUAUCUGUUGGUCCAUUUAAUUUGAUCUUGAGUUUUAGUGGCUGAAUUUGGAUUUUAGGCCUUUGUUUGGUAUUUCUUAGUUGCUUCUCCUCAUAUUUUUGAAGACUCUCGCUAUUCUUUUGUGAUCAUCAGCUACAAUAAAGAGUGGCUUGUUGUCCUCUUGUUUAUUUAUUAUUCAGUUGUGUUGUAUUCAGUUAAAUAAAAUUUGCCUAUAUAUUAUGGGUGUUCUCCAUAAAAAUAUGUGAUCUAAAAGUUAGAGAAGUGAAAAACUCAUUCCGCUAGUGAAAAUCCAUUCAACCCAAAAGUUUAAGCCUGGUGGGUGAGACAUAUUAAUAAACAUUGAAUUUAUUAGUCUUUUGUUAAUUAUUCGAUAUGAAACUAUAAACAAGUGAAAUUCUAACACUAAGGACCCUUCAAAUUAGGAUUGGAGUGGGCAAACUGAGUAGUUGAGCACAAAACAAGCAAAUCUCUCCUUUUCUUUUCAUAAUGUUUUUCUAAUUGAUACAAUGGUAGGUAUGUACAAAUAUCCACUUCUCUCUAUAUUAUGAAAGUUUUUACAGCUCUAAACUAAUUUUCAACAAUAGGACAUUGGAAACGUCUAUCCAUACUAUUGAACAUUAUCUUAAAUAGUUGUAGUUUAAUUGAACCCGCAAAAUAGAACAAUUUUUUGUCAAAUGUAUUCUAACUUUACUUCUUCUAUAUACAAAACAAUAAAUGUCAUAUGCCAGCCGUCAAAAUUUAUGUUUGGAAUAGUUUGAAUAUAAAGUAGAAAAAUACUAGAACAUUAGGGCAUUCACUUUCUAAAGUAACAGUAUUGAUUAUAAUAGAUGAUGAGAAGGAAAGCAAAGAGAAUUAAUCUGCUGAGGUAAAAAUGUGCGGAGACCCCUCGCCUAUCGGCCAUUUUGAAAUAACCCUCUCAAUUUUAAUCUUUUUCGUAUUGGUGAGCUUUUUCAGUUAGCUAAGUUAGAAACUCUGCAAUAUUUGACAAUUCUAUUAGCUAUCAGUAGUUAAUUGUUUUAGUUUAAAAUGAAUCAAAACUAUUACUUUUGAUAAAAAACACUUGUGAACUCGAUAAAAUUUACUCAACCAUGAAAGAUCAAAAUUUAUAGUUGAAGGGGUCUUCAUGCAUUUUUACCAUCUACAAAUUGAUGGAUACUUGUGGCCACUAAUUAAUACUUACUACGAUGGGCAAUGACCACUUAAGAUAUAGUUAAAUUAAAUCAAUUGGAUAAGAUAUUGUUAAUCAAAGCAAUUAGAUCUUUCAAAGUUAGUGCUCCAAGUUUAUGCUCAACACAAAAAAGAAAGUAAAAAUGAAAAUAAAAAUAAAGUUAGUGCUCAAAGGAGUGCAUCUUUUAGCAACACAUUUCAUACUAACUGCACACAUUUUGCCGCACGCUUUUUUUGAUGACUCACCUGAAUCCGGCUCGUCACUGUAAGCCUUUCGGUUCGGCAUGAUCCUUUCCGAGUUAGGGCCUUCUGCUUAAAAGUAAAAAACCCUUAUGUAGUAUGCUACUCGCUUCGUUUAUUUUAUUUAGAAAUAAAUUUAGCUAAAAAUUUGAAUCAACUAGAAUUCGAACUUGGGAUCUCGGGUGCCAACCACCAAGUUUUUUGCCACUUGCGCUAGGGACGGUCGGUCCUAUAUUCGCUUCUACAACUCAUUAAGAUUAAAAUUUUUUUUUAAUAAAAUUAGAAAAUAAUUUGACCUGGGGCGCCGAGCUAUCUCUUCCUGGCCCAUCUAGCUAUGUUGUGCUUUGCUUGGUCUUGUUUAGCUUUGCUGAUUCUUCUUUACCCAGCUUUGGGUCCUUUCUCAUUUGCCUUAUUUGACUAUGUGUUUCCCUUCCUCAAAUAGGGUAUACUUCUGUUUAAUCAAAAAAAAAGAAAGAAAAGAAAAUAAUUUGACUAAAUUUAAUUGGCUAAUGAAAAUAGAAUAUGCUUUGAAAAAAAUAGGGUUUAAGAGAGAUAUAUCUAACACAAGCAAUGCUAGUAUACCUAGAAAGGAAGUGUCCUUUGUAUAAAGGGCAAUAUUUGAUACUUAUUUUAUUAAUUUUUUUGAGUGAAUUAAGAACUAAGUUUGCUAUCAAAAGGGGUUGUAUUUUCUAUAACUCCUCAUCCGAAAAUUGUAGAAUUUUUUUGAGUGAACAACUCAGUUUGCUAUUUUUUUUAAAAAAAAAAGUUAUUGUAGGAAUAUAAUACAAAGUUGACAAUCGAACUAGCAUUAAUGUAGAAAGUUUUAAAAUAUUCUUUAAACCUCAGGACGGCGUGUAACGUGCAAAGAGGUACUAAUAAUUAAUUUGGCUGCACAGCUAUUGUUCUCAACCGACAAAGCCGUUCGUUGGAACGUGCAAAGAUGUCUCCGUCAAUUGCUUAUAAAAAUAACAUGGCAUAAUAAAGUCAACUUAAAGGCAUAGACUAUCUUCUUCUGAAUCAAGAGCAGCAGAUAGAUCUCUGGCCAUAGCUGAACUCGAAACAGUUUGCAAAGCAAGAAGAAUUUGAUCGAGCACGAUCACCCAAAUGGCGACGCUGGACGCUCUGUUCGGAAACUGCUCAGAGAAGCUCGCUGCUUUAAUCCAGGAUGAGGUGGCGAUGAUUCUCGGAGUGAAGGAAGAGCUCGCGACGCUGCAGAGGAGGAUGAAGCGGAUCGGCGGCGCGCUGAAGAAAGUAGGGCGGGAGAGGACCGAAGAUGCCGCUUGGNGCCCCACGCUGCUGAAGGCGCCGUUGCCACAGCGUCCACCGCCCAAGUUGCCCGACGCUGCCCGAGCCGCAUCUGCCAUCGCCGCCCGAGCUGCUAAGCCCGAGCCGAACGCCAAUCGAACCGACGCCGCGUGCACCAUCAACACCAUCUUGCCUGUUGCCGUUGCCGCUGAAGCCGAGGUCGCAACGUCUCAAUUGAUUUGAUUGCUUCGGGAAUGGGGAGCAAGAAAAAAACAUUAAAAGGAAAAAAAAUAGAGUGUUGUUUCUUUGCUUACUCUGAAGUGUACCCCAUAAAUUUUUUAAUGAUAUUUUGAGUUAAAUUAAAAAAAUGAUGAGACUUGCAUAUUGUUAAAAGACGCAAAGAGAGAGCGCCCGGUCAUCCACAUCUUCUUCAAUUGCAAAGCAAAACAAAAACAAAGAAAAAAGAGAGGAAAAAGAGCAAAAAUUGUAUAUAUAUAUAUAUAUAUAUAUAUAGAAAUAAUUUUUUUUUUUGUCCGCCGACUUUUCAUGUUACCAAAAACAAUUUAUUAAAAAAAUAAACUUUUUCACCAUUUCAAAAAAAAAAUUUGUCUUUUUGCAUCUUUUUCUCUCUCCCAUCUAAAAAUCUUUUUGCUUUUCAAUCUUCGUAAGAAAUAAUAUAUUAAAAAAAAUUUUAUCUUUUCAAGAGAUAAUCAAAGCUUCAAAAGCUCAGUUUCUAUCUUCAUUCCUUGAUUUUGAUCUCAUAUAAUUUUGAAGUUAGUUUUCAUGAACAAAAGAGUAAUAUUUUGAGUUUUGAAUUUUGGGUUAGCAACUAUUUUAAUAUUAAGAAGUUAAUAAUUUUUCCGAAUGUAUUUAGUAUGAAUUUAAAAUUUAAAAUUUAAAAUUUAAAAUAAUUAUAUAUUAAUUUAUUAAAGUUUAUAUCAAAAUAUUAGUGUCAAAAUUGUCCGCAGCGAAGCCCGGAUUCAACACUAGUAUAAUACAAAGUUGACAAUACAAAGUUGACAAUCGAACUAGCAUUAAUGUAGAUAGUUUUAAAAUAUUCUUUAAACCUCAGGACGGCGUGUAACGUGCAAAGAGGUACUAAUACUUAAUUUGGCUACACAGCUAUUGUUCUCAACUGACAAAGCCGUUCGUUGGAACGUGCAAAGAUGUCUCUGUCAAUUGCUUAUAAAAAUAACAUGGUAUAAUUAAGUCAACUGAUCAAAGGCCUAUCUUCUUCUGAAUCAAGAGCAGCAGCAUAGAUCUCUGGCCAUAGCUGAACUCGAAACAUUUUGCAAAGCAAGAAGAAUUUGAUCGAGCACCAACACGCAAAUGGCGACGCUGGACGCUCUUCUCGGAAACUGCUCAGAGAAGCUCGCUGCUUUAAUCCAAGAUGAGGUGGCGAUGAUUCUCGGAGUGAAGGAAGAGCUCGCGAACCUGCAGAGGAGGAUGAAGCGGAUCGACGACGCACUGAAGAAGGCAGGGCGGGAGAGGACCGAAGAUACCGCUUGGCUGAAUGAGCUGCAAAGUAUCUUGCAUGAAGCAAACAAUGUCUUUGACGACCUCAGGUAUGAGCUGCCGUCCGCAUCUUCAUCAGUUCUGUCGAUUCUCUGCUGCCUUCCUAUGUUCUCUUUCUUCAACUUCAUUCGUGCUCGUCACAACUUAGCCAAUAGAAUCAGAGCCCUCAACAAUAGAAUCGAUGAAGUUGCAAAGGACCAGUGGAUCUUUAGUCUUGAGUCGGCAAAGACGGUGGGUCAAGUGGCGAGCAUGUCGUCCACGCGCGAGACUUGUGAGAUCAUGGAAUCCGACGUCGUCGGGAGAGAGAUCGAUGAUGCUACCGACGAAUUGGUCGAGAUGAUAGUCACGAACAACCGACGGACUUUUCAAGUGAUUGCUGUAGCAGGCAUGGGAGGGAUCGGCAAGACCACGCUCGCUCAGAAGGUGUACAACAACCCGAGAAUUGGAGACCACUUCCAGGUAAGAAUUUGGAUUUGCGUCACCCAAAAAUAUUCAGAUGUUCGAUUAACGCAGGACAUCAUUCGAAAAGCCGGAGGAAGUUGCGGCACUGCCGAACGGCUCUGCGAAUUGCUCCCUAUUCUCUGCCGGACUCUUGGAGGGCGGAGCAUCUUUCUCGUGCUGGAUGAUGUAUGGCGAUCGGACGUAUGGACCGAUUUACUCCGAAACCCGCUGCAAAAUGGAGCAGCUAGUGGAUGUGUUCUGGUGACCACAAGAGACCAGAACGUUGCGAUGAGAAUGGGGGCGAAACACAUUCACUGGGUGGAGAAAAUGACUGUUGAUUCAGGCUGGGAGUUGCUUUGUAAGAGAACAUAUCUCGAAGAAGAAGGAGAAGAUGUGCAAUGUUUGAGAAGUGUGGGGGUUCAAAUUGUUAACAAAUGCGGCAGCCUUCCGCUUGCAAUUAAAGUGAUUGCCGGUGUCUUAACCACCAAGGAGAAAAGCAGAAAAGAGUGGGAGAAAGUUCUCAGAAGCAAUGCUUGGUCUAUGAGUGAGCUUCCUGAGGAAUUCAGGGGUGCUCUCUACUUGAGUUACGACGAUUUGCCGCCUUAUCUGAAGCAAUGCUUUCUUUCUUUUUGCCUUUACCCUGAGGAUUAUGGACACCGCAUUUGCGAUCUUCGCAAGAUGUGGGUGGCAGAGGGGUUUGUCAAGCAAGAAGAAGGUUUAAUAAUGGAAGAGUUAGCCGAUCAAUACUACUCCGAGCUAAUACGUAGGAGUCUACUACAACCUGAUCCUCGUUAUGUGGAUCAGGGCAUGUGCACAGUACACGAUCUCUUGCGAUCUCUCGCUCAAUAUUUGUCACGAGGUGAAAGUUACUAUGGAGAUCCACAGUCCUUGGAUGCUACUGCAAUCUCAAAGCUUGCGCGCUUGUCAAUUGCUGAGAACGGAGAGAUUGUUACAAUCCCUGGUCCAAACACUGAGCAGCUACGCUUGAGGACAUUACUACUAUUUAAGAGUCCACCUAGAAUUGAGCACAAUCUUUUCUCUAGAGUUCCAUACCUCCAAGUGCUGCUUCUUAAUGGAGAAGGGAUAGAAUGCAUUCCUGAUAGUGUGGGAAGUCUAAUAAACCUUCGAUUGUUAGAUCUUGAUCGGACUAGCAUAUCCAGGCUGCCGGACUCUAUCGGCUUCCUAACGAAUUUGCAGAUUUUAAACUUACGAGAUUGCAAAUUUCUAAACACACUUCCAAGGGGCAUCACUUGCUUAUGCAGUCUUAGACAGCUUGGCCUUUUUGGGACCCCUUUAAGAAGUGUCCCCGAAGGAAUAGGGAGACUACAACUGCUCAAUGACCUCAGUGGAUUUGUUAUUAAUGCAGACGGUAGUUGCAAUACCGAACAAAAUAGUUGGGACUUGGAAGAAAUGAGAUCACUAGGCCAACUAAGGUUGCUCCAAUUAUCUAUUUUGGGGGGGGGACAGAAUGCAAGUUCCGUGCAGUCCACUGAUGACAUAAUAGAUCAACCGCUGACGGUAACUCAUCUAAGGAAUAGGGCUUUUGUACUUGAAGAUAAAGCCUUCCUAAAAUAUCUAGCUAUAUCCUGCACACCGCAGACGGAGAGGGCAGAAGCACUGCCAUACACAGAGGAGGAAAUCAGUAAUAUUGAAGACACCUUUGAGAAAUUGCACCCUCCAACUUGUUUAGAAACAUUAUUUCUCGCCAACUUUUACAGUCAUCAUAUGCCGAGUUGGUUGCUGUCGUCAUCUUUGGGUACUUAUCUUCCUCAUCUAACAUACGUGAAAUUCAUAGGUUUGCCACUAUGCCCACAAAUUCCACCUCUAGGCCAAUUGCCGCAUUUGAGGUUUCUCCGAAUCGAAGAUGCUUUGGCAAUUGUAACUAUUGGUCCAGAAUUACUCGGUAAUGGGGUUGGUGACGGGGUGCACGCAACAACAGCCUUUCCUAAGCUUGAAUUUCUUAUCAUGAAAGGCAUGCCUAAUUGGGAAGAAUGGUCCUUAGUUGGCAGUGAAACAGGAAACUCAUCAUCUUGCUCACUUCGAGUUAUGCCUCGUUUAGAGCAGUUGUAUGUGAUAGAUUGCCCAAAACUUAGAGCACUUCCAAAAGGUUUGCAGCAACUCAGAGCACUCCGGAUUUUGCGCGCUACAAGGGCUCAUAGCCUAAGUGUAAUUGAGGACUUCCUAUUCAUUACUGAGCUUAAAAUCUACAUAAAUAAUGGCAUGGAAAGGGUCUCAAAUCUUCCUGCACUAAGGAAGCUCACCAUUUAUGACACUCCGGCUCUAAAGUGCGUCGAUAAUUUGGUUGCACUACAAUACCUAGAGUUGGAAGAUUAUUCUAUGAAGUCCCUCCCAGAAUGGUUGUUGAGACUGGUCCAGCAACGCGCGCAUCUUCGCGACGAAAACCUCCAACUUGUGAUGCGCUGCAAGGCUGCCGUAAUUCAGAGAUGCCUUAGGGGAGGGCCAGACUGGCCUAUCAUCGAGUGCUUUUCUCGUGUCAGCGCCUACACCAAAGAUAGAUCAGCAUAUCUGGAAUAUACCAAGCAAAGUGGGUGCUAUCGAACUAAUCAAUGAAGGUAACAUCGGUGAAAACUUUCCUACUUCUCUUCUCAUUUUCCUUUUUUUUUCCUUCUCGAUUAGUCGUCUUGUACUUCAAACUAUUAUGUUUGGCAUCAUCUCAAUUCUCAAACUUAACUGCAUUCAUUAUCUAUGCUAGUUCAUGAUAUUUCCCUAGUUUUCUCUCUAUUCCUAGGAGCUUGCAUAAAUGCCUGGCUAGCUAAGCGCGCUUUGCUUGUUUUUUAAAAUAAAAUUCUGCUUCAAUAAUGGUGCUUCAUUUCCAUUAUUCUAAAAUUUCCUUCAGUCUCCCUUUCAAGUGAGUUUCAUUGUCUUAAGAUAAAGUUAUACAGAAUUUAUCUGAACUAUGAAUCGCUUUGAGUCAGCUAUCUAAUCUUUCUAAAUUUUGAUUUUACUAUUCAAUUUUUUAAUUUAUUUGAUUUUAGUGGGUCAGUACCACUUUGACUUCAAAAUUUAAACUAACUGAUUAAUUUAAUAAAUUUAUAGUUGUGAAAAUCACAUAAAAUAUGUUAACUAAAUCUGUAAAGAUAAACGACACAUUCAAAUUUUGAAGAUAAAUGCCGUUGACUAAACUCAAAUCAAAUAAAUUGAAAUAUUAAAUACUAAAAUCAAGAUUUUGAAAGGUUGGAUAGUUAACUCAAGAUGGUUUAUAGUUCGAAUAAAGUUUGCAUGUUUCACCUUAUCUUAACUCAAUUGUAGAAAUAUAUAUCAUAGUGUGGAAUGUAUAUGUAUUCUUUUGAAUUUACAAAAGCCAUUUAUUCUGUGUUUGCAUUUAUUCUAUUUGCAUGCUGAAAAAUAAGUACAUUUGAUCAGGCAAUCAACUGAUCAAAAGUCAGAUCUUUCAACUGGUCCUUCCAGUUCUAUUAGUAAAAAGUUUUUUUUUCUUUUUUUCUUUUUUUUUUUUUGAGAGAAAGAUAAGGUGCUAUUUAUUUUUUUUAGAAAAUACUUAGCUGGAAAUAUAAAGCAACUAAGCUUUGAACUUAAAAUCUUGGAUACCAACCAUUAUACCCUUUGUCACUUAUAUUAGAGAUGGUUGGUUAGUAAGAUCAGUUUACGAUCUUUUUGUUGCGAGAGUUUGUCGAUCAUUUUCGGGCCGUCGCCUAAUUCACAGUCAAAGUAAACUGGUUUUUUUUUCCUGAAACAAAGCCCUCUUUGGUUAGCUACUCCUGUGUCAAUAAUUUGAACAUUUUAGUCUCAAAGAAAAAAAAAGAAAACAACCCCAACUAAUGUGAACAUUUUGCUUAUAUGAACCUCUCUAUUAAUUACUAAGAACCCAGGCUUCAUUACUUAGCUGCUGUUUGAAAAGCAUGAAAAAAAAUUGUGGAAAAGAUGUGUUUCAUGAAAAACUUCUUUUCUAAUUUUUUUUGGCCAAUUUGGUUCUAAGAAAAAACUAGGUUUUUCAGAAAUUUUUUUUAUUGAUUUUACCAAAAAAUUAUUGUUUUCAUUUGCAAUUUAAAAAUAAAAAAAACGAAAACAAUAGUUUUCCAUGAAAUAUGAAAAAUGUUCUUCAAAAAAAGCUCUUUUUUUUUUAACCAAAGAGGUGGAAAACUAGAAAAAAAAAAAAUUUCAAAAUAUAUCUUGUAAUAUCACGUUCUGCAUACCAUAAUGUCAUCCUAUAAAAAAAAAAAAAAAAAACCAUUAUGAAUACUAAACGGACCCUAACUCUAUAACAUGCUUGUAAAGCUUAGUACACCCUAGUUCAAAUGUAGGAUCGAGCCCAGGAUAGGGCUUAAACAAAGCCCAGAUAUUGAUCCAUGCAACUUUAUGUUUCUUCUUUCUCUUUUCUCAGAGCCUAAAUAAAUUUUUAAGGUUUCUAAAUUUUCCUGUAUACACAUACACCGAAGCAAAAUAUAAUAAGAAAGUAGAAUAGCAAAACAUUCUAUAUCGCAAUGAGUCGAUUAGACCAUAUUUUCUACAAUCCUCAAAGAAAAACUAAAAGGUAUAUUUUUAUAUAUUUGUGUCCUAAUUCUGUAUUGUCUAUUAGAAUUAAAUAAGCCUUCAUACUAAACGGGCGCUUUAUCCGUUGGUCCGUUUAGUGUGAUCUUGGGUUUUAGUGGCUGAAUUUGGAUUUUAGGCCUUUGUUUGGUAAUUCUUAAUUAGUUGCUUCUCCUAUAUAAUAUUUUUGAAGAUUCUCGCCACCCUUUUGUGAUCAUCAGCCACAAUAAAGAGUGGCUUGUUGUCCUCUUGCUUAUUUGUUAUUCAGUUGCGUUGUAUCCAGUUAAAUAAAUUUGCCUAUAUAUUAUGAGUGUUCUCCAUAAAAAUACGUGAUCUGAAAGUUAGAGAAGUGGCAAAGGGCUAGUUGGCAAAGGGCUAGGUGAUCUGACCAUUCCUAGAGCAAGUGGCAAAGGGUUAGGUGGUUGGUACUUAAGACCCAAGUUCGAAUCCUAAUUGAUUCACAUUUUCAGCCAAGUUUAUUUCUAAAUGAAAUAAACAAAGCGGGUAGCGACUACCUACCUCUCAAAAAAAAAAAAGAAGUUAGAGAAGUGAAAAACUCAUUCCGCUAGUAAAAAUCCAUUCAACCUAAAAACUUAAGCCCGGUGGACUAGACCCAUUAAUAAACAUCGAAUUUAUUAGUUUCUUGUUAAUUAUUCGAUAUGAAACUAUUAACAAGUGAAAUUCUAAUACUAAAAGACCCUUCGAAUUAGGAUUGGAGUGGGCAAACUGAGUAGGAGAGCACAAAACAAGCAAAUCUCUCCUUUUUCUUUUCAUAAUAUUUUUUUAGUUGAUAUGGUGGCAAGCAUGUACAUGUAUUCACUUCUCUCCAUAUUAUGGAAGUUUUUACAGCUCCAAACUAAUUUUCAACGUUAGAACAUUUGAAAUGUCUUUCCAUACUAUUGAACAUUAUCUUAAAUAGUUGUAAUUUAAUUGAACUGGUAAAAUGGAACAAGUUUUUGUCGAAGGUAUUCUAACUUUACUUUUUCUAUAUAUAAAACGAUAAAUGCCGUAUGAUAGCUGUCAAAAUUUAUGUUUGGAAUAGUUUGAAUAUAAUAAAGUAGAAAAGUACUAAAACAUUACCAAGUUCACUUUCUAAAGAAUUCAAAUAUUGUAGAUUACAUCUAACAGUAUUGAUUAUCAUUUAGAUACUCUGUUAUUCGAAAUCAAGUUAUUAAGCAAACGUCUUGAUGUAAUUAAUUAAUUAAUAAUGCAUAAUCUUUUUUUUUUUGAGAUAAAAGCUAGGAUUAAUAUCUGUUUUAUUUAUAGCGAAUAUAAACUGAGCUACAGUAGUGGGGCAACUGCCCCAAAAAUCAAAAGCUUUUUGAACAAGAGCACGCAAAAAAACACAAAAAAAAAAAAAUAGUUAGUUUAUAAUGCAGAAUCUAGCUAACCUAUGUAAUUUAUAUAUGUGUUAGUUCACCACUCAUGCAGGUCUCUGACAAUUCUAACAGAAGUUAAUGAUGAUUCCCUGAUCAUCAUUUACUUUCCUUCCCCCAAUUGAUGACACCACAACACUCCCAUGAUUUGAUAAGAAAUUUUCCCAUCCCUCCAAAGUGAUAUGUAUCUUUUUUUCUUCAAAAAAAAAAAAAAAAANCCAAAUCAUAUUGGCACUUCACAAAGAUAAGCAACUUUUUUGAUGCCUAGCAUUGAAAAGUAGAUGAAGCCACUAAAAUGUGUCUUUCCUUAGCUUAGUUGACAUCUCCAAAAUAUAUAAAUUUAUAUACCACUUCUUAUCCCUCCAACUUAAUCUUCUCCCCUUUUUAUAAUAGAUGAUGAGAAGGAAAGCAAAGAGAAUUAAUCUACUAAGGUAAAAAUGUGCAGAGACCCCUCGCCUAUCGGCCAUUCUGAAAUAACCCUCUGAAUUUUAAUCGCUUUUUCUAUCGGUGAGCUUUUUCAGUUAGUUAAACUAUCAGUAGUUAAUUGUUUUAGUUUAUUUACUGAAAAAUGAAUCAAAACUAUUACUUUUGAUGUGAACUCAAUAAAAUUUACUCAAGAGCGAAAGAUCAAAAUUUAUAGUUGAAGGGGUCUUCAUGCAUUUUUACCAUCUACAAAUUUAUAGAAUUCGAGCUUGGGACCUCGGGUGCCAACCACCAAGUUUUUUGCCACUUGCGCUAGGGACGGUCUGUCCUAUAUUCGCUUCUAAAGCUCAUUAAGAUUAAAACUUUUUUUUAAUAAAAUUAGAAAAUAAUUUGACCUGGGGCGCCGAGCUAUCUCUUCCUGGCCCAUCUAGCUAUGUUGUGCUUUGCUUGGUCUUGUUUAGCUUUGCUGAUUCUUCUUUACCCAGCUUUGGGUCCUUUCUCAUUUGCCUUAUUUGACUAUGUGUUUCCCUUCCUCAAAUAGGGUAUACUUCUGUUUAAUCAAAAAAAAAGAAAGAAAAGAAAAUAAUUUGACUAAAUUUAAUUGGCUAAUGAAAAUAGAAUAUGCUUUGAAAAAAAUAGGGUUUAAGAGAGAUAUAUCUAACACAAGCAAUGCUAGUAUACCUAGAAAGGAAGUGUCCUUUGUAUAAAGGGCAAUAUUUGAUACUUAUUUUAUUAAUUUUUUUGAGUGAAUUAAGAACUAAGUUUGCUAUCAAAAGGGGUUGUAUUUUCUAUAACUCCUCAUCCGAAAAUUGUAGAAUUUUUUUGAGUGAACAACUCAGUUUGCUAUUUUUUUUAAAAAAAAAAGUUAUUGUAGGAAUAUAAUACAAAGUUGACAAUCGAACUAGCAUUAAUGUAGAAAGUUUUAAAAUAUUCUUUAAACCUCAGGACGGCGUGUAACGUGCAAAGAGGUACUAAUAAUUAAUUUGGCUGCACAGCUAUUGUUCUCAACCGACAAAGCCGUUCGUUGGAACGUGCAAAGAUGUCUCCGUCAAUUGCUUAUAAAAAUAACAUGGCAUAAUAAAGUCAACUUAAAGGCAUAGACUAUCUUCUUCUGAAUCAAGAGCAGCAGAUAGAUCUCUGGCCAUAGCUGAACUCGAAACAGUUUGCAAAGCAAGAAGAAUUUGAUCGAGCACGAUCACCCAAAUGGCGACGCUGGACGCUCUGUUCGGAAACUGCUCAGAGAAGCUCGCUGCUUUAAUCCAGGAUGAGGUGGCGAUGAUUCUCGGAGUGAAGGAAGAGCUCGCGACGCUGCAGAGGAGGAUGAAGCGGAUCGGCGGCGCGCUGAAGAAAGUAGGGCGGGAGAGGACCGAAGAUGCCGCUUGGUUGAAUGAGCUGCAAAGUAUCUUGCAUGAAGCGAACGAUGUCUUUGACGAACUCAGGUAUGAGCUGCCGUCCGCAUCUUCAUCAGUUCUGUCGAUUCUCUGCUGCCUUCCUAUGUUCUCUUUCUUCAACUCCAUUCGAGUUCGUCACAACUUAGCCGAUAGAAUCAGAGCCCUCAACAAUAGAAUCGACGAGGUCGCGAAGGACCAGUGGAUCUUUAAUCUUGAGCCGGUAAAGACGAUGGGUCGAGUGGCGAGCAUGUCGUCCACGCGCGAGACUUGUGAGAUCAUGGAAGCCGAUGUCGUCGGGAGAGAGAUCGAAGAUGCUGCCGACGAAUUGGUCGAGAUGAUAGUCACGAACAACCGAAGAAAUUUUCAAGUGACUGCUGUAGCAGGCAUGGGAGGGAUCGGCAAGACCACGCUCGCUCAGAAGGUGUACAACAACCCGAGAAUUGGAGACCACUUCCAGGUAAGAAUUUGGAUUUGCGUCACCCAGAAAUAUUCAGAUGUUCGACUGCUACAGGAGAUCACUCGAGAAGCAGGAGGUAGUCACGGAAGUGCCGAACGAGUUUCAAAACUGCUCCCUAUUCUCAGCCAGACCCUUGGAGGGAGGAGCAUCUUUCUCGUGCUGGACGAUGUAUGGCGAUCGAACGUAUGGACUGAUUUACUCCAAAACCCGCUACAAAAUGGAGCAGCUAGCGGAUGUGUUCUGGUAACCACGAGAGACCAGGACGUUGCGAUGAGAAUGGGCGCGAAACACAUUCACCGGGUGGGGAAAAUGACUGUUGAUUCAGGCUGGGAGUUGCUUUGCAAGAAAACCUAUCUAGAAGAAGAAGGAGAAGAUGCGCAAAGUUUGAGAAGUGUGGGGGUUCAAAUUGUUAACAAAUGCGGCGGCCUUCCGCUUGCAAUCAAAGUGAUUGCCGGUGUCUUAGCCACCAAGGAGAAGAGCAGAAAAGAGUGGGAGAAAGUUCUCAGAAGCAAUGCUUGGUCUAUGAGUGAGCUUCCUGAGGAAUUCAGGGGUGCUCUCUACUUGAGUUACGAUGAUUUGCCGCCUCAUCUGAAGCAAUGCUUUCUUUCCUUAUGCCUUUACCCUGAGAAUGAUGUACACUUCAUUCAUAAGCUUCGCACGAUGUGGGUGGCAGAGGGGUUUGUCAAGCAAGAAGAUGGUUCAAUAAUGGAAGAGUCAGCCGAGCAAUACCACUCCGAGCUAAUACGUAGGAGUCUGCUACAACCUGAUCCUCUUUCUGUGGAUCAGAGCAAAUGCACAAUACACGAUCUCUUGCGAUCUCUCGGUCAAUAUUUGUCACGAGGUGAAAGCUACUAUGGAGAUUCACAGUCCUUGGAUGCUACUGCAAUCUCAAAGCUUCGCUGCUUGUCAAUUGCUGAGAUCGGAGAGAUUGUUACAAUCCCUGGUCCAGAAACUGAGCGACUACGCUUGAGGACAUUACUACUAUUUAAGAGUCCACCUAGAAUUGAGCACAAUCUUUUCUCUAGAGUUCCAUACCUCCAAGUUUUGAUUCUUAAUGGAAAAGGGAUUGAAUGCGUUCCUGAUAGUGUGGGAAGUCUAAUACACCUCCGAUUGUUAGAUCUUGAUCGGACUAGCAUAUCCAAUCUGCCGGACUCUAUUGGAUUCCUAACAAAUUUGCAGACUUUAAACUUACA